GAAAGAUUAAAGGUUUUGAGAGAUCUCAUACGAAUUUUGCUGGGUAGAAUCUUAAGUUCCUUGCAAUUUGAUAGGUUCAAAUGACUCAACCCCGUGAGAUUAUUAAUUGAUGGGGGCAGUUCUUUAAUUUUUGACCUGGAUAAAUUAAGUUCUUCUAACUCUUUCAUACCUUUUGAAAUCUCUGGAAACAUCUCGAGACUGGAGCAGCCAAGAAGAUUAAAGGUUUUGAGAGAUCUCAUACGAAUUUUGCUAGGUAGAAUCUUAAGUUCCUUGCAAUGUGAUAGGUUCAAAUGACUCAACCCCGUGAGAUUAUUAAUUGAUGGGGGCAGUUCUUUAAUUUUUGAAUAGGAUAAAUUAAGUUUUUCUAACUCCUCCAUACCUUUUGAAAUCUCUGGAAACAUCUCAAGAUUGGAGCAGCCAGAAAGAUCAAAGGUUUUGAGAGAUCUCAUACGAAUUUUGCUGGGUAGAAUCUUAAGUUCCGCGCACCAAUUCAGAUCCAAUAAAACAAGGUUUGUAAGAGUCGAAAUAGACGCGUGAACCUCAACUAAGCUUAUACAACUUCGAACAAUUAGCCUCUCAAGAUUUGGCACAUUUGUGAAGUCAGGGGUUUCCUUAAGGGAUUGACAAUGACUUAAAUUGAUGAAUUUCAACUUUUCCUGCGUCUGUUAAAACAUUCAGGAAAACAUGCAUUACUUAAUAAGACAUCUCACUCAAAGCCCAAACAUUUAAAAGAAACAAAUACAUGUAAAUGAUUGUACGUACCUGGGUUCCUUCCCAAAGUCGAUCAAUGAGACUAUAUUGCAUGUCAAGUUCAACAAGAUUUUCGAAUUGAAAGUUGGAUGGCAAAGACUUGAGAGGGAAAUCAAGCCAGGAGAGAUACCUCAGGUUAAGCAACUUUAAGGACCCAAACAGGUAUUGUUUGCAGUACUCAUCUUUAAAAACGAAGUGCCUAUGACUGAUCUCGAGAAGUCUUUGUUGAGUCCUUCCAACAACAGCUUCAGCAUUUAAGUUCCUAUGAUGACUGAUCUUGAGAAGUCUUCGUUGAGUCCUUCUAACAACAGAUUCAGCAUUUAAGUGCCUAUGACUGAUCUUGAGAAGUCUUAGUUGAGUCAUUCUACCAAAAGCUUCAGCAUUUAAGCAUGGCCAGCCUGAGUACGAGAAAUCCACAAUUAUGCUUUCAACUGUUUUUGUAGCCUGUGCAAAUCAAAGUAAAGGAAAAUACAGAGAACCUUAGUUUUGAUUAUGAAAUUAAUGAUUGUUUCUUAAGGAGCCGUCUGAUAAUCAUUUCAUUUUCUGUUUAAUUGUUUUCAAUUUCAUUAUUACAACAAUGAAAACUAAAAAUUGAAAACAAAAAUGGUUAUCAAACGGGUCUAAGAAAUUGAUUUUGAUCAAAAGUUGAACCUUUCUACUAACAAUUGCAUAAGAAAAAUAUUUCUCACCGCAUUUUCAGUUAGCACCUGACGAACAUCUUCAUAACUCCACAACCUACUUCGUCUCCCAGGAUCUUUGAUAGAUUCUUGGCGGACAAUUUCCCAACCCAUUUCCUCUAAUGAAUCAUGCAUCUCCAAUUCCCCCAACCUUGAGACAGUUAUGAGAGAUCGAUCGAUUAGAACUUUUAUUCCUGUAUGAGGAUGGAAACCACAACUGUCCAGAAUUUCAGUUGCCUGGUCUUCCUUCAUCCCUUUAAAGAAACAUGCAAUAUCUAGAAAGAUGUCCUUCUGCGUGUCAUCUAGUCCAUCGAAGCUUGUUUUAAGCACAUCAUGAACUCCCCUUUGUGGGAUUUUCCUUAUUUUUUCCAACUCACCUUCCCACACGCGUAUGGUUUUUUUAUGCAAAAAAGCUCCCAAGACUUUGAGGGCUAAAGGCAGACCUUGAGCAUAUUCUACAACACGAUUCGAGAGAUCAUCAUAAUCUCUAGUGGGUUGGUCAUUUCUGAAGGCGUGCUGCCUAAAGAGUUUCAGAGCUCCAGAAUCACUCAAAGUCUUGGGAUUAUAUAUCACAUCAGCUAUGCUUAGUAACUGCGAAUCUCUACUUGUUAUAAUAAUCCUACUUCCACCACCAAAGGAAUGUUGCUCUCCAAGUAAAGCUUCAAUUUGUUCUAAUUUGUCCACAUCAUCAACAACAAUAAGAACUUUUCUCUGACCAAGGCUUUUUAACAUCACCUGGAAACCUUUACUCAAUAUGUCAGAAAUCCCCACCUUGUUGUCUGAGAUACUAGAUAGAAGUAGUGUCUGCAUAUGUAGUUCACCCUGCUUCAUGAAACCCUCCUUGACAUUUUUAAGAAAGCAACCAGCUUCAAAUCGACAAGAGAUUUCAUCAUAAACAGUUCUAGCGAUGGUUGUUUUGCCUAAACCACCCAUACCCCAUAUUCCAACAACGCGAACAUUAUUCGUUUCACCUCCGGGAGGAUAUAAUAAUAAAUGCAUUUCAUGCAUGUGAGAAUCCAUGUCAACCAAGCCAUUAUCUUUGCUUGAUGUUGAUGAGAUGUCUAUCAAUUUCCUAUAAACAUCUUCUACAAUUUCCUCAAUAAGCACCACAUCAUUCCUGUCAAAUUUAAAAAACAUAUAAUAACAACAUCAAAUAAUAAUUAAUGGGUCUUUUUCAUCUGUUAGUUAAAAAAAAAUAGAAAUUAAAACUAAAACUAAAAUCUAAACGUUACAAAAAUCCCAAAAAUUAAAAGGAAACUAAAACAAAUUAGAAUUUACUCAUAGUUUCGCGAAUCCCAGCCGGAUAAACAGGUGGCAGUUGUAAGAGUAGAUCUCCAACUCCGAACCUCUUCCAUUUCGGCGUUAGAAUCGCGAUCGUGCUCAGAAAAGCUUGUGCGAAACUUUUCUUGAGCUUACGAACAUGAGACGGAUCAACUUCAUAGAAAAUGGGGAGUACAAUCUGGUUAUUGGUAUCCUUGCAUUCCAGGAUUUGCACGAGUUCUUUCAAGCACCAAGUGGAAGAAGCAUAGUUUUGAGAGAAAACUACAAGCGAAAGCCUUGACCCUCGAAUCGCUGUCAGGAGCUCGGAAAGGUGGUCGCCUUUUCUGAGCUUUUCCGCAUCAAUGAAGGCGUUGAUUGGUUUCUUAACCAGAGCGUUGUAGAGAUGGCUGACGAAGCCCCUGCGAGUGUCUUCCCCUCUGAAAUUGAUGAACACAUCGUAUUUCCAACCAAGGUUAGAAGCAGCAGCCAUUAAUCGAUCGCACCUGGUCAGCGAUGAUCGAGCAGCUAAGACUAAGAAUAAUGUAAGAACAGAAAUACUCGAUUGAUCUAUAAAUUGAAUCACUGAAGAAACUGGUCUGAUCGAUACGAAGUCAACGAAGACAAAGAAAAUAAUGCUUUAUGUGUUUUCACAUCUUCUUCCGGGAAAUUUAACGAAAAUAAUUUUCCUUUAGGCAAAAUUGACUUCAAAAUAUAAAAAUAUUCUUUCAAUUAUGGACAUAUGACAUUUCGGUGUGAAACGAAUAUGCUUAUUUGGUUUGGUUUGGACCCAAGAAAGGACAAAGAUUGUCUGCCCUCCUACUUCCGGUGCCCUUCCAUGCCCUUCUGUUUGUGUAGUCACGGUUAAGCCACGUCAACAUUUUAUAUUACUAUUUAUUUUUGUCUUAUUAUCUCUAUAAAUAAGCAAUAUAAAAUAUUAACGUGGCAUAAUCGUGACCACAGAAAACAAGAGUUGGCACCAAAAAUAGGAGGACAAACAACCCUUGUCCCCCAAGAAAAUGCUAAGAAAGGAUGGUUUAGCAGCUGUGCAUGAGGGGACUGGGUCAAAGUACCCUGUUGAAUCCACUCUUGCCUACCCAACAACUUAUUUAGUUAUUUGUAAGCCCGAAAUAUAUCCCGAUCUUUCUAUUCACACCAAAAGUAAGUAGAGUGAUAAGAAAUAUUUCCGGUUAAGUAUAAGCAUGUCAGUCUGCAGCAGCAUAGCCACGUUAAGGGCUACCGUGGGCUGUAGUCUAUGUAAUUUUCAGUGAAAAAUAAAAUUUUACAUGUAAUUUUUAUUGAUUUUCAAAUAUACUUCUUCAUAUAUACAGUCUUUAAUCUGAAUUAUCUCAUUUUAAUUAUAUAAUUAUAUAAUACAGUUUACAAACUGUCUCUUUUUCUUACAUCAUUUUUCUCACCGCUUCUUGCACAUGUACAAGUUUGGAUUUUGUUUGAAUUUUAACACGUAUUUGUUUAAAAACGAAAAUCCUUGGCUUACAUAGUGAAAAUUUUCUUAAGUUAGCUGAUACUUUGAAAAAUACAGGAUCAAGUUUCUUUGUUUAUAAAGAUUUAAAUCUUUAAGCUAGCCCACCCGGUGAAAAAUUCCUAACUCCGUCAUGCAUUUUACAUAUAAUUUUUAUUGAUUUUCAAAUGUAGUCCAUCAUAUAUACCGUCUUUAAUCUGAAUUCUCUUGGUUUAAUUAUAUAAAAUUAUAUAAUACAGUUUACAAACCGUCUCUUUUCUUACAUCCUUUUUCUCACUGCUUCUUAUACAUGUACAAGUUUUGAUUUGUUUGAAUUUUAACACGUAUUUGUUUAAUAACGAAAAUCAUUGGCUUACAUAGUGAAAAUUUUCUUAAGUUAGCUGAUACUCUGAAAAAUACAAGAUCAAGCUUCUUUGUUUAUAAAGAUUUAAAUCUUUAAGCUAGCCCCCUGGUGAAAAAUUCCUAGCUUCGCCAUUGAGCAUGUGGUAUAUCCUAUGAUAUCAUGGACGGCAAACGAGCGAUUAAUGGUUGUUUGGCAUUUAAUUUGAUGUCACGGUAGUAACGGUACUCUAAAAUCUUUGAUAUACUUGCUUUCAGCUACAAAACUACUAGAACUCCGAAAAUUGCUUAUGAAAAUAAAAAUAUUGACUAGAUUUGAACUUGUAUAAUCUAUGUCUUCACUACACAUUGUUGUGUUCGCUCGUGUUCUAAAGUUGACGCUAGCUAGAAGGUCACAGCAAGAAGCAGAGGAGGCUAACUAUUGCAGAAAUUUGUUUAUUCAAAAGCAUUUGUAAAAACACAUAUUGAAAUUAAUUCACGCCAAAAAUAAAUAAUACAGUGGUGGCAGGCACACUACAACAAUAGGGUUUUAACCCUAUGCAUUUUUAUAUUGGCUUUUGUGUUAUCAGUUGCGACCGCUCGGUGGAGAGAGCAUUUUAUGUUAUGAAUAAAAAUACCACUGCGUAACAAAAUAGAAGAUUAAUGGUUGAGUGAUAGCUGGUUUGUUUGCAAUGAGAGAGAUGUUUUUGCUUUUAUUGAUAAUGAAUCUAUAUACGCGAUGUUUUCAUAGCAUAAAACAUCGCCGACAACAAUUGUAACUUUUUGUGUUGAUAAAUUAGGAAAGACAUUAAUAUUUUCUAAUAUCUAAAAGAAUUUGGAUGUCUACAUUUUUUUGGAAAACUUUUUACCCUUCUAAAUUUCGCGCCUCUCCCGACAAUUCCUAGCUUCGCCACUGCUAUAGUCAACUCCAAGUCUUGUCCAUGAUAUCAAUAUCCCUACUGUAAACGGUGACUUCAAUAUAAGCUAACAAAAAGUUUGUAUAGAGAAGAUAUAUGCAUGAAAAAAUGGCAGUGUUUGUGUUGCCGAACGGAUGAUACUGAAAUACCUAAACCCAAGUCAAGCUCCUUUAGUCCACAAAAACAAAAGUUUAGAAUACAAUAAUGUUUGCAUAUAGAUUGGAGAAACGACAUACCACCGGCCAGGAAGGUGCAGUGAAAGAGAGAGGAAAAGAGGAAAGAAACAAAUACGAAAUGACAAAGACUAUCAAAUAGAUUAUAACAAUGACUUCUUAGCGGUGAUCACAACUAUUCAACUAUCGAUGAUGCUUUAUUUUAGAUUGAGAUGUGGAAGCAUCUGAGAAGUAGCAUGUCAACAACCAUUACACAAUAAUAUUGUCUAAUAUCUAAAAGAACUUGGAUAUCUACAUUUUUUUAGAAUCUUUUACCCUUAUAAAUUUCGCACCUCUUCAGACAAUUUCUAGCGUUGCCGCUGCUUCAGUCAACUCCAAGUCCUAGUGGUUCUUGUCUAUGAUAUCAAUAUACCCAUUGUAAAUGGUGAUUUCAAUAUACAUAGAGUGUGUACAGGGGAGAUAUAUGUAUGAAAAAAUGGCAGUUGUUGUAUCUGUGUUGACGAACGGAUGGUACUGGAAUACCUAAACCCAAGUCAAGCUUCUUCAGUCCACAAAAACAAAAUGUUUAUUAUAUAAUAAUGUUUGCAUAUGGACUUGCGAAACAACAUACCGCCGGUUGGGAAGGUGCAAUGAAAGAGAGAGGAAAGGGGGAAAUAAACGAACAAGAAAUGACAAAGGCUAUCCAAUAUAUUAUAAAAUGACUUCUUGGCAGUGAUUAAGCUAUUCAAUUAUCAAUAAUGCAUUAUUCUUAAAGUUUAUAAUAUAAUAAUGUUUGCAUAUGCACUUGCGAAACGACAUAUCGUCGACUGGGAAGGUGCAAUGAAAGAGAGAGGAAAGGAGGAAAUAAACGAACAAGAAAUGACAAAGACUAUCCAAUAUAUUAUAAAAUGACUUCUUGGCAGUGCUUAAGGUGUUCAACUAUCAAUAAUGCAUUAUUCUUAGGUUGAAAUGUGGAAGCAUCCGAGAAAUAGCAUGGUAACAACCACACAAUAAACAAAAGUGAUUAGAGAAAAGAACCAAAUGUGAAAGGAUAAUUAAAAACAGUUAUUCAAGAUCGGCGGUAAAUCAUUCAGCUAUUUACAAGAUUUGAACUUAGAACCGCAAUCUACUAGAUUGUUGUAUCAACUAUUAAGUGGUGUUCUAAUAUAAUUCUUAGGAAUUUCAAGGAGGCAUAUGGGGGUGGAUCAUUUUUUUUCUAAAUUCGACAGUACAAAGAAGAAUUUAAUUGAUAACGGAAAAAAUAAGUUACAUAUAGAGCUGGAGCAUAUAAUAGACCCAAAUUGACCAUUUUUAGGCUCCACUGCUAAGAACUAUUGCAAAAUGCUCAUUAGGAUUACCCUGUGAACUCCGUCCUUCCACACCAAGCCUCCAAACUCAGUCCGAUAUGUUGCAGCUAGUUUAGAUACUUGUCCCCUGCAUGUUACAGAAUCACAAGAGCAAGCUUACAAAACUGCAGUUUUUACUCAUAGUUAUUGCAAAUGAAAAUACAGGUUGGUGCCAGCAAUUAUCAGUGUAAUUCUCUAUCCGACGGUAUUUCUCUCGCCUUCUCUUGAUAAUUUCGGAUGUGACAUGUUUAAGAUAACUCUUCCAAACACGUUGCUUAUGCCUAAUUUUUAAUACCACCAUAUCAUAUCAUAGUAAAUCCAAAUAACUAUCGAAUGGCAUUUAGGCAUCUAGAAUAUCAAAUGCAUUACUUUACAUUGAAAAUUCAUUUAUUCAAUAGCAUUAAUACACUAGUAAAAAAAACACUUUGCACGACGUAGGUCCUUCGUCGCGCAAAGUCAAAACAUGUCGCGCAAAACUUUGCCCAACGAACCUUCGUCACGCGCAAACCGUCGCAGCAAGGCAGUGACAUAAGGCUUUGCACGACGAAGGGUUACAUGCAUCGCGCAAAGCCACUUUGCGCGACGCAUGUAACCCUUCGUCGCGCAAAGCCAUUUUGUGUGAUGCAGGCUGCGUCGCUCAAAGUGGCGUCACGCGAAGAUGCUUUGCGCGACACAUGUCAUUGAGUUGCACAAAAUGACUUUGCGCAACGUAACCUACGUUGCGCAAAGUGUAUUUUUGGUUUUGGUCAAAAAUAUUAUUUUCUUAAUUUUUAAUAAUGUUGUAAUUAAAUUCUAAACAAUAAUUAAUUAACCAAAAAAAGUAUUUAAUUAUAAAAUAUAUGGAAAUGUACAUACAAGAUGUCCGAAUAAAAAAGAAAAAACUACAAGUAGUCUUCUAGGUGAAGUGGCUACUGGGUAUCAACAUGGUGAAGUGGCUUCUAGGUGAAGUAACAUUUCGAUGACGUGAAAAAGUUUCAAUUGGUCAUCUACAAGUGUCAAACCUAACACAUUUUACUUAAAAAAGAAAAAGGUAAUAACAUAACUCAAAACGAAAAGCAAAAGGGAAAAAAAAAAACUUUGCGCGACAUAAGUACAUAUGCAUCUCGCAAAGUUUUUUUUUCCCCCUAUUGCAGAUACAAAUAACAUCAUCCUUUUGCAAGAAUCAGUCUCUGCCCUCUCGCCCUCCCUCUCCCGCUCCCUCUCCUUCUCCUUCUCCCCUGUGUAGUUGUUGGUUGUGUUGUACGAAGUCGUCCCUCUCCCUCUCCCAUGUGUUGUUGUUCGUUGCACAAAGUAUUUUGCCCGAUGCAGGUGUACCUACGUCCCGUAAAGAUUUUUUUUUUUGCCCUUUUGCUUAUGAGUACAAAAUAAAUAAAUUAAAAUCUACUUACUAAAUCAACUAUGGAGCUUUUGACUUGUGUUAGAACACUGGAAAGAAAGACAAAAAGAGACAUUUUCAUGUUGACUUUGCACGACGCAUAGUACAUCAUGCGUCGCGCAAAGCUGUUUUGAGUGACGUAGUGUACCUGCGUCGUGCAAAGUUGGAAAAAAAACGGUAAAACAUUCUUGGUUUGGCCCCAAAAUCUUGCGCGGCGCACAAAACGUCGUGCAAGUGGUCUUUAUGCGACCAUACUUUGCGCAACGAAGGAGUGCGUCGCGCAAAACAGUUUUGAACGACAUAGAUGUACCUUCGUCGCGCAAAACAAUUUUGUGCGACCCACUCCUUCGUCGCACAAAGACCACUUGUGCGACAUCUUGUGUUUAGCGUUGCACAAAGUAUGUUUGCGCGACGAAAUUUGCUACGUCACGCAAACAUGUUUUUGUACUAGUGAUAACACACACAUUGAAUCUCCACUUGCCCACCCAAAAACUUCUUUGUAAACUAGAAAUAUAUUCCAAUCUCCCUAUUCACAUGAAGAGUGAGUUAGAGUGAUUGGAAAUAUCUUUGAUUACGUGUACGCACACCACAUAUGUGCCAUAUCCAACGGUAUUGCGGACAUAAAGCAAGCAAGUAAUGGUUGUUUGGCUUCUAAUCUGAUGUCACGGUAGUGACGGUACUACUUUGAAAUCUUUGAUGUAUAUGUUUUUAACUACAAACUACUAGAACUUCACAAAUUGCUUAAAUACAAGUUCAAGCAAUAAUAAGAAUAUUUCCAAUAGAACACCUUUCAUAGGGCCGGUCCAGAAAUUUUUGAGGCCCGGGACGACGUAAAAAAAAGUGCCCUAACUUCAUGUAAGAAAAUUAUUUAUUUUCACACGUAAGACAUCGAUAAAAUUAUACUUAGAAAAACACUUCAAACUUAAUAAUUUAAAAACACAUAAAGACUAAUUUAUUUUGUAUUGAGAGAGGGAAACAACAAAACUUCGGGCUUACAAGUAGAUAGAUGAUGAGUUUUGUUUUCCAUCUGAACUUUGAAUGUGUUUUUGAAUAAAUCAUGAGGUGUUUUUUUCUUAUUUACUAAUCUUGUCAAUAUGGGACUAUAAAAAAAUGAUGUUUUCGAGUCUUUAAUUGAUAUGUAUUAUUAAUGAAUUGGCACUAAAUUAAACAUUUUGAUGACAUGUCAUAUAAUUUGCAAAUUUGGUCUACGUAUUAUUCUUUGUUGAAGAUUAGACUUGAAUUAAAACGAAUAUUUAAAAAUAACAACCCACAUAUCUACUAGAUAGUAACUAAAAAUAAAUUAACAACCAAACAAAAAUUUGUAAAAAUUGAAAAGAAUAAACAUGCACAUAGCACUUCAAACAAAAAUCAUUGUUUCUAAGGGGGGUGUAUUCAAUUGAGAAUGUGAAAGAUUUUAAUGGAUUUAUAAAUCCAUGGAUUUUUAUGGAGUUUAAUUGAUUUGUAGAGAUUCCAUAUAAAAUUUUGAUUCAAUUCCUUCGAAAUCUCAUGGGAAGAGGUGAGAUUUGUGGAUACUUAAAAUACACUACGAAAUCUCUCCAAUUCCCUCUAAUUCUUUAACUUUCUCAAAUUCUUUAAAAUCAAUUUCUAAUUGAAUACACUUGGAAUGUUAUAAACUUCUUUAAAAUCUUAAUUGAAUACACCUGGAUUUCUAAGGAUUUUAAUAAACUAUUUUGAAAUUCUAAUUGAAUACACCUAGAAUUUCAGAGAAUCACUUAAAAUCCUAAUUGAAUACCCCUGGAAUUAUUAAUUCCCUGAAACUCUCUCAGAAUCCUAAUUGAAUACACCCCUCUAAGUAGACUUCUUGAUCCUUUUACCAAAUUUUAUAAAUUUAUUCUCUUAUGAAAAGAAAUUUGUAAAAAAUGAAAUGUAAAUAAGCACACAUGGUGUUUUGAACCCAAUACCUCCUCAUUAUUUUCAAAUGACAAACCACCACUUCUAGUUAAAUUUCUAUGUCUUUGAACCAAAUUUUAUAAAUUUAUACUCUUAUAAAAACAUACAUAAAUUGACACACCCCAUCCCGAAGGAGGGCAUGCUGGCCGUCACGUGAGAGUGACGUAACCAUUUGCACAGUACGGAAGCUUUAAGAUACAAUUUAUAAGUUGAUACACCCGAAGGUGAGUCCUAAUUUUGUCCAAUCUGUCAGAACACCGUCGAAUUCCUCGUAGUCACCACACCUUUGUGAUUCUUGAACCUGGAGGGGCGCAAAACCAAAAUUGAGUGGGUCAGUAAAACAAUUCUUUUCCAAAUCCAAACAUUUCUCAAAACGUUGUAACCCCUCUCCGUAAAACCUGUAUACUUUCCCAGAAAUGUAAAAUAUAAAUAUACAUAUAUAUUCUCAAAACUUCAUUUUUACUAUCUCAACAUUUUUCUUUAUCAAUCAUGCCAUGCCAUGUCUAAUUCAACAGUUAAAUAUGGAUGCAUCAACAAUAAUCAUAUCAGGUGCAAGAAAGUAAUCAACCGGAGGCCCUCUAAUAGCCCUGUACGGUUGAACCUAGAGCUCAAAAUCUAUCACUAUCACUCUACCGGAGUCACCUCUGUGACCCGUCCGGCCUUCUGCACACAAGUUAUGCUCUAGUGCUUUCUCAUCAAUCAUCUGUGCACAUAAUCUAAGGUCACCCACCAGUCGGAAUCUCACUAACACUCUCGCGACUGGCCUGUCGUACCCACUCCGCGUGGACUGUACGACUAGCAUCUACUUGGAUCCAAGGCGAGCGUGCGAUGCGGUGAAUACUAUAAGCACUAAACCAUUGGUGCAGGAUUUGAGCUCAAUAUAUAUCAACAUCAUCAUAACAGUAAUUAAAUACUCACCUGAUACUCACCUGUGCGUCCGCCGCACCAUUCAUUCAUAUGCAUCAUAUCUCAAUUCAUACUUUUCAUAUCAUUUCAUGCAUGGCAAUUCGAUUCACAUUUCUAUAUACUUUUCAUAUACUUUUAUGCAUGGCAUUUCAACUAAUAUAUCUCAUAUACUUUUAUACAUUUUCAUUAAAAACAUAAUUUCAUGCAUUUUCAAUUUCUGGGAAACGGCAAGUAUAUAUGUAUACGGAAAACAAAACUGCCCACUCACCUGGAGUUCGCCCUACAACUCCCUAGCACAAUACGCCAAGGCGUCAUGACGAUCGGCGCCUAAAAACAAUAAUUAAUUCCAACCUCAGAAUUCAUAGUGAUAGAAUAUAUAACUUAUAUAAAAUACGUCACUACGUAGUUCGAUCCGGAAGAUCUGCCACUCAGAUUUUAAAUCCAUAACUUCCAGAGGUCCACAAUAUACCUCUAGGACAACUUCCUAAAAUUUCAUUACCAUCCAACGGUCGGAUCUCCGUCAAUUUCCAAAACUAAGUGACGGUUAACAUUUUAUUUUAUGAACUUACAAUUCCAAUUCCGGAAGAUCCGUAACUCGGAUUCCCAAUCCGUAAGUUCCAAUAAUCCUCAAAUAUUACGUAUUACAACGUAUCAAAGUUUGGUAACGAUCCAACGGUCGGAUCGUCAAUUCACAUUUUCACCAAAACUAUAAAACGUUAUUCGAACACCUAACCAACAAUCCUUAAUAACUUUCUCAUACGGUGCUCAAAUUGGGUAUAUGAAUAUACCACGGUGAUCUACUCGACGUCACGGACGUCGACAUAUUUUUAAAAUAAUUUUAUUUAUUUAUUUUUUUUAACUGUAGCACCUUCUUCUUCCUUGGGUCGCCGGACUGGUUUUUCCGGCGGCCGUUUUCCGGGCAGUUUUUCAAAUUGUCAUAACUUUGUCAUUUCUCAACGAAAUCAAGUGAUUCAAAAACGAAAGUUGUAGCCCUUGAAGAGACAAAGAGAAUGGUACCUUGCACAACACCUAGUUCGCCGUGGUUUGGCCGGAAACUGCCUCGAAAGCCUCGGAGGUCGCCGGAAACUGGGUAUUUUUCAAAUGAGUAUAACUUCUUCAAUACUCAACGAAAUUGAGUGAAACAAAAAGGAAAGUUGUAGUACUUGACGAGACGAAGAGAUUGAUACCUACCUCGACUCCUAACUCGCCGGGGAUUCGCCGGAAAAUGCCUCGAAGCUCCGGCCAAACUUUGAACUUGUCGAUCUCCGUGUUCUUACGUCCAAAAACUUCCAACGAAGCACUCCGAGCUUCCUUGGAACCUCACUAAGCUCACUGUGAGCUUGGAUUGUCCUAAAACAAAGUCAAUUCGAAGAUCAUGAACAGUGCACUUUCACGGGGAGUUUAGAAUCUAGGUUUUUCCGAAGUAAAACUUACCUGAAAUUGGUGUCUACGUGAUCGUGGAGUCUCCAGGAGUUCGAUGGUGGUCUUAACUCCGUCGUUGGUAUAGAUUUAGGGUGGUUUUGGAGCUCGUCUGUGUGAGUUUGAAGGAGAGGGAGAGAGACAGAGAAUGAGAGAUUGUGAGGGAGGAGAGAGAGACAGGGUACGGGAAAUAGGGAGGGAUUUGAGGUGUGUGGUCCUACCUAACCCCAAAUCAUAAAAUUCCAUCUCCAAAUAACUUAGAAACAUAUAUUUCACCAAUAUAUGAUUCACAUAUCUUAAUCACGUUUAAGGGAAAUUCCGUCAAUUUACAAUCACGAGUGUAAAACUUUGGGACGGGCUGUGACAUAAAUAUAUCACCCUAAUAAUUUUGGUGCCCCUAAUUUUUCUGGGCCCUGGACGGUCGCCCUGCCUACACUGGGCCUAGGCCGACCCCCUUUCACAAUCCCUGGAGAGCUAGUUCAUUAAUAGACCGAGGAAUAAGUAAAUUGACUCAUUCAUAUAUUUAGAUCAUGAAUGUUUGGAAUCCAUAUUAUGUAAGGAGACAUUGCUUUUGCUAUUAUGAAAUUUAAAAAAAAAAAUGACUAGAUUAGAACUUGCAUAAUCUACGUUUUAUUCAUGGCAUGCGAUUAUUAAUGAUUAAAGCUAAGCUUAAUACUAUGGGAGGUAAAGUAGUGGAAAGCAAAUCCUUGGCACUCAUGGCACUUAUGGAGAAGAUGAAGAAAAGAAACCUAGGUCGUAUUUAUAUACAAACAUGUGACUAAAUUACAGAAAUGAUAACGAGAGAGCAUGUGAUUGUUGACAACCAGUGACAUGAGAAACACACUCUGGGAUCAUAUCCAUCAGAAGCCCAAUUCCAUCCUGUGUAAGAAAGAGAGCAUGAGAACACGAACAUGAAAAAUGAAAGAAUUGUAUUCAGCAUUUUGUCAAGCUAUCAAUUGGUACACAAGCAUUAUGAUGUAAUAAUCAUGUUAAAAUAAAAUAUAAAUAGUAAAACUACACGUCCAAGCUUUAAUCCAAAGAAUUCUCACUUAGUAGUCCAAAGCUAAUUGAUUACCAUUCGGUUGAUCCAGAAACACUCAACCUAUCCAACUAUUUUGCGACGUUACCAAAAACUACUACUACUUUCCAGGUGAAACAUGAAGGGUGAAAAAGCAAACAUGAAUCACUAGAUUUACUACAAAUGAUAUACCGAACAAUCUAACAGUAAAUAUCAACAAGACCAAUCCAACGUUAUCACAAAGCAUAUAUCAAUAAGAAAAAUAUAAAAAUAUUGUUACCUUACUGAAAGCUCCAAUAUUCGGUAAGGUAACAUUGGAGGUCACUAUCAUCUUUCCCGCGAUCAGUGAAUAAAAGCCAAAGAUCUGACUCUUGGAUUCGAGUCAUGGGUUUGGGUCGCAAUUCUCUCGUCGCAUGUUUGAAUACCAAGUUCAUCUUAACAGACUUGGUUUUUUUUAUCAAACAUCUUAACAUAUUUAGGGGUGUGUUCAAUUGGGGAUUUAAGAGAUUUUAAUAGAUUUAUAAAUUUAUAGAUUUAUAUGGAGUUUAAUUGAUUUGUAGAGAUUUCAUGUAAAAUUUUGAUUCAAUUCCCUCGAAAUCUCAUAAGGAGAUGUGAGACUUGAGGAUGUUUAAAAUACACUACGAAAUCUCUCCAAUUGAAUUCCUCAACUUUUUCAAAUUCUUUAAAAUUAAUUUCUAAUUAAAUUCAAUUGAAUGUUGUAAAAUUCUUUAAAAUCGUAAUUGAAUGCAUCCAGAUUUCUAAAUAUUUUAAUAAACUAUCUUAAAAUUCUUAUUUAAUACAUUGAAUUUUAGACAAUUACUUAAAAUUCUUAUUGAAUACCUUUAGAUUCAUUAAAAAAUUUAAAAUUUUUCAAAAUCCCAUUUGAAUACAUCACCCUUAAUAAAUUGUACAUUACAUUAUAUCCCAUUUGAGCACAUUAGCUUAUGCCUCCGGAUUCUGCAUAUCGGGUCGGGUUCCGAAGUUCGAGCUCACAUUUGAUAAUCAAAUUCAUCACAUUUGAUCCAACGGUGGUAAUUGGCAAACCCACCUCGGAGUCAAAAGAUGCGGCCCACGCUCCCUCUCUUUUCCAAAACCCUAGCAAAACCUCGGCCCUAUAAAUACCUUCCACAUCCGCCGCAGGAGGCACCCAAAUGCCCCUUUCUCUUCCCUUUCACACACUAAUCCCUCGCAGAGGCGAUGGGAUUCCCAGUUGCUUCUCCGUCGGAGAAACCUUUCCAACUGCUCCAUCUCUUUGCACCAUCGCCUCUGUUUCUUUUUUAUUUAUUUACUUAAUUAUUUGAGCAAUUUCCUUUAUCCUUGCCAUUCAUAUUUCAGAUUUUCAGCUUGUUUUUUUUUAUCCGAAAAAUAAAAUCGAAGUUGUAUGAGUUUUUUGCAAUUUUGUUGGGUGAGGCCGGUGAUGAUCGAAACAUAUUUUGCCUACAUUGCUUGAUUAUCUUAUUUUAUUGAGAUAAUGAUAAAAUCCGAUGUAUCUGAGGCCUUCCCGGAAGAACGAGCUUUAUUUUAUUUUUUAUUUUUUGGGUAAAAUGUAUUAUUUCAAAUCUUAAUAUUUCAAAAAACUGAAUUUUUAAAUUUCGACUAAAAUGAUGAGUUUUGUUGAUAUUUGCGAUAUAUCACUUAAAUAGUGAAGAAAUUCUUAAUUUCGUCUUAUUAAAUAUGUCAGAUUUUGUUUGAUAUUUUCUCGAUGUCAGAAGUCGAACUUAGAACUCUUAACCAUAAGAAUUGAAUUGAGCUACACUGGAUGCGUUGGAGAAAAUAUUAAUAACUGAAGGAGGAUUUAUGUUAUAACAAAAAUAAAAUAAAAAUGGUAUUCCGGUGCCAGGAUUCGAACCUGGAUGAAAACUCUUAACCAAUAAGACUUUUUGUGGUGAGCUUCACCGGACGACUUGAUAAAUCAUGGCGAAAUAAACUAUUUAAAUGUACUCCUUACGUUGUGCCGUAGAUAAACAAUUAGUGCACAUAAUGUAGUUAUCUGAUUUGUGGGGAAUGGUGAUGCUCACCGCUUAAUGUCGUCGUUGGAUCAGUUUAAGUUUUGAGAUCUGUGAAAUGAAUAAAUACAAAUUUAAAAAUUUAAAUUUAUUUAAUAAUAAUAAGUAUGGUAAUGAGAAAAAAAUGCAUCUUAUGGUUCAGAAACACACUCUCAAAUUUAAAUAACAAUUUUCAUGCUUUCCAACAACACAAAAAUUUUAUAACUAAGAAUCAAUCAAAACAUAAUGAUUGAAUGAGCGAGGAUUUCUUUUAUUUUUUCCAAAUUUUCUGAAGGUUUUUUCUAUAAAAUUUAUGGUGUCAUGAUUGCCUUAAAAGAAUCGUAAAUGUGUUCCUUGAAAAAUAAUAUGAAACCGUAUUUUGAGUUCUUAUGUUUAUUGUUUUAAUUCGAUCUAUCGUUUGAAGCCGCCUCCACCAAAAUAAAUUCAUAUCUAUAUUUUUUCUAUAACGAGUGAUUAAUAAAUCCAACCGUUUUUCAGCACCACAAAAUAAGUUACAACCCGAACACUAACGAGCGAUUAAUGGGUCCAACCGUUUUGCCACAUAUAUAUUUUCUUUUUAUCAAAACAUGCAAAUAUCUUCUUUACCAACUUGAAUCUCCCAUCGUUUGUUUUCUCUUCAUCCACAGAUUUGAUCUGUCUUUUUUGGUGAUCAAACCAAAAUUUUCUUGGACAUGAUUGUACAUACAACCAUUAAUAAACUAUCUCCAACAAAAGCCUAAACAUAGCCUCGUCCAAAAUUAUAGUCUUGCAAAAAAAUAUUUUUUUAAUAAACGAUGUCAAACUAUACUCAUGUACUAUCUUUAACCUGUAUGAAACCUUAAAAUGUAGUGAGCUUCAUCAGUUCAUGUUUAGUGCAAUUAUAUAGAACAAAAUGGUUGUAUUUCAUUUAGGAUUAGGACUUAUAUGUGUGACUUGUAAGGGAUUUAGAGCCACAAAGGAGGGAAACUUGAAGUUACAAUUAUUUGAAUUUGGCGACAGUUAAUCGAAGGAAAUUGCUUGUAACUGCAUCCUUGAUGGGAGGAUGAGUUGCGGAACGUACAUAUAUAUAUAUAUAUAUAUAUAUAUAUAUAUAUCACUUUGAUCUCUCUUCUUAGGUGUGUGUGAUCCCUCACGUAGAAAUAGUCCCAUUGAGUGUUCUUGGAUCAAUUUUGUGACCAAAGGAAGAGAAGAUAUCACAUCCUGGCCCGGGACGGACCACUUCCCGGGCCCACUCCACCACCGUAGCACGAUAUUGUCCGCUUUAGGCCCCGAUUAAGCCUUCACGGUUUUGUUUCUGGAAACUCACGAGCAACUUCUUAGUGGAUCACCCAUCAUGGGAGUGCUCUGCCCACCUUCUCACUUAACUUCGGAGUUCAGACAAAACCCGAAGCCAAUGAUCUCCCAAAAUGGCUCGUGCUAGCUAGGGAUGAGAAUAUACAUUUAAGGAUCACUCCCUUGGACGAUAUGGGAUGUUACAGAAGACAAAUGAUCAAACUUGUUGUCAAUGUCUUCUUCUACAAGUAAGUAAAUUCUCAUUACUUGUUAUAAUCGCUGCAUGCAUAAUGACACAAUAAAUGCAACAAUUAUCAUUCAAUGUUAAGAUUUCUGAACUAGGAUCAUGGUUUAAUUGUUAAUGAUAUAUAUAUCCAAGCAUAACCGAAAUAGCUAAACAUAGCCCCAUAAUAAUUUAUUAUUUUAAACCUUAUACUUUAAAUUAAUUAAUUAAUUUAAUUUAAUUAUCAUUGUAUGUUUUCAAAUUUAGCCGUUUAAUUUGAAUUAAUUGUUGCAACUGAGGAGCUGGAUCCCCAAAAAGGGCUAAGAGGGGUUCUAUAUUUGACCAACUUGAUACCCCUUAGGCUAAUAAUCAUCUGGUGGGCUCCAUAAAAUUAUAGUCUAGUCAUCGGUUGGAAAUAAAUUUUUAGAUAAAUCAAGGUCAUUUUUAGUUUUUAAACCUUUAGUCAUCUCAAUUGAAAAUGACCUUAUGUCUUUAUACGAUGUGCCUCCUAUUUCCAGCUUCAACUCCAACUGAAGGAUGUAAACGUAAUUAUCAUCUAUAGAGAUUCAUCAGAAUUUGAGGGGUUAGAUGACCCCUACUUGCCUCUUAAUGGAUUGGCCUAGGGGUGGGCAAACGGGUAUAGGAACCGCGGGUCGGGGCGGGUACGGACCGGUUCUUAUUUUGUAAAAAUAAAAAUGAGGCGAGGUAGGGCGGGCUUUUGAAAUUUUCGGUUCGGGCUGGUUCCUGAAGUAUGGUAGCGUUUGGUACGUGGGACGGGACGGGACGGAACGGGACGAGCCGUUCCGUCCCACGUUUAGUGCGCCUAAAAACUGUGGAACAGGUUGUUCCAUGGGACAAAAUUUGGCUGAUUUUUCGUUCCACCUCUUCCCCCUGGAACGACCCGUUCCACAUCUGUGGAACACAAAUUUAUAACAUUUUAUGACAAAAUUUCUCCUUAUCUUUUUCAAUAUUUACAUCAUCUGUUCCGUCCUGUUCCAUCUCGUCCCGUCCAGUCCUGUUCCGUCCCGUUCUGUCCCAUCUGCGUACCAAACGGUACCUAUAGGAACCGCGGUUACCCGGACCUGCCCGUUUGUAGUUAGAAUGGACGUAUAAGAUUGAAGAGAUCAUCUCUCCAUCCAAUCUGAAUCGUUGGUUUUAGGUUUGCUCAUCCUCAAACUUAUCGAAUUCAACUGUCACUCUUACUCUGUUGAUCGAGUCUCUCUCGCCGUCUCCAGUGCGUCGUCUCCUUCCCUCCACCACCCCGACAACACGACGGCCCAGACGACCACCAUCUUCUCGAUUUGUCACCUCUCUCUCACCUCUCUCUCGCCAUCUCGAUUUGACAUCCCAAGGACCCAGACUUACAUAACCCAGCCACCCCACCACCCAUCUUCUCGAUUUGUCACCUCUCAUUUGCCGUCUCGAGUGUGUCUUCCCCUCCUUCACCGAGGAGGACGAGAUUCAAAUCCUGCUGGUUUACUCCAAGGAGAUUAACAAGCGCAUGCUCGACACCGUCAAGUCCAGGAACGCCAUUGCUUCCGCUGCUCAAAACGGCGCCAUGGAGUCCGAGACUGUGAGCUCUGCGGUGGAAUGUACCGCUGUUGCCGCCAAUGAAGAUGCUAAGGCUGAAGAGCACAGAUCUCUCCAUGUGUGUUAGGUCACUCUUAGCUUCAUAUUAGCCUAUUAGAGCUUUCAUAUCGAGAUCUGUUCAUAUUUAUCAUGGAUUUCUUGUGAUGCCUAUAUACCUAAUGACCUGUUAAAUAUUUAAACUUUGUUAAUUUCGCUAUGCGCUUCAAUUUUCUGUGGAUUAUAUUAUCUGGGUUUCUGUUGUGAGUAUUGAUCUACUGAGUCUUGAUCUGCUUUGUUCAGAGAUGUUUAUGUUGAAGAUUUUAUAAGGAAGUGGGUGCAUUUGGAAUUGGAAAAUUAUCGAAAUCUUUCCUCUUGCAUUAUUUAGGUUUCCUAUUGCAUAAUCUGCUGCAUUAGUGAAUCUGUGCAAAUUCCAAUUUUUUUUUUUCUAAACAAAAAGAAAACCAAGAACCCGUGGACCCGGCCUGAACCGGCCCAUUUCAACCAGGCCGAGUAAGGUCCAAUUCCUAUAUAAGAAAAUGUAAUCCCCAACUCGGUCCGGCCCAUCUCCUUUGCACCUGGAUCCACCAGUGGCCAUAUGCUAUUGCCCUUUUAUUUUCUUUUUUCUCCUGCCAUGGGCGCAGUCAUGGGUAAGUAGGUAAGUUUGAUUACGCAAUUAAUUGGGCACUCUAGGAGACGCGUAGUGUUAGUGCAGGCUCAAAAGUCAAAAGGUUAAUGAGGAGUGUGGAUGGAAAGCCUGCCCUAAAUACGUUUGUAUUCCUUUGCUGAGUUACUGUACUCUGCCCUUUUCUCCUCUCUUCCUGGAAAAUUCACUCUAUUGAUCUCUGGCCGUGUUUUGCGUGGCAUGAAACAAAACGGUCAAGUAGUGUAUAACAAUUUCAAAAAAAAAGGUCAAAUAGUGUAUAACAAUUUAUCAUAUAGAAAGUUGAUGGUGCUGCAGAUGAUUAAUGAGAGUUUUAACGAAAAACUCACAGCACUGUUUACUUUAACGAAAAGCCACAUUUUUACAUUAAAAAGUCAAACCUAGUACUAUUCAUUUUAUCCUUUAUUUUGUCUUUAACAUUAAAACUCAAAGUUUUCAAACAUUUUUCAUUAGUUUUCCUAUGAUUAAUUGGUGUCCGUAGAAAUUACAUGAUAUCACUCAGACUUUAUCCAACAUAUUAGGCCAUCUCCAACAAAAGUCUAAACAUAGCCCCAUCUAAAAUUAUAUUCUUGUAAAAAAUUAUCUUUUAAUGAAUGAUGUUAGACCAUACUCAUAUAUCAUCUUUAACCGAAAUGGUUAAACACGGCCACUUAAUAAUUUAUUAUUUUAAACCUUAUACUUUAAAUUUAUUGGUUAAUUUAAUUAAACUACCAUUGCAUGUUUUCAAAUUUAGUUGUUUAAUUUGAAUCAAUUAUUGCAACUGAGGAGCUAGAUCCCCAAAAAGGGCUAAGAGAGGGUCUAUAUUUGGUAAGCCUGAUACACUUUUGGCCAAUAAUCGUCUAGUGGGCUCCACAGAAUUAUAAUCUAGUCAUCGGUUGGAGAUGAAUUUUUGAAUAAAUCAGGUAAUUUUUAGUUUUUAAUCCUUUAGUCCUCUUAGUUGAAGAUGACCUUAUGUCUUGCUUUAUAUGAUGUGCCUCCUAUUCCCAGCUUCAACUCCAACUGAAAGAUGUAAACGUAAUUGUCAGCAAAGAGUUAGAAACAUACCCGAAUCCACGUUUUAUAAGCAGAAACUACACUUAUUUGACAUGUUUCCUCAUUUUUUUUACUUGCAAAUUCAAAACCGUCUUGUCGGACCAGUAUAACAAAAUAAUGUUUACGAACAACUGUUAAAACUAAUCACAACAAGUUAAUGCAUAAAGAACUUACGGAUACGGAGGGUGCUAUGAGGCCACCGAAAAGGGUAAACCCCGCAAUAAAUGAAUUCACCUUGUGAUUAAUACUUUGCACAACUUUUUAUGAACCGACAAAAGGCUACAACAAAUUAUGGCUAAAACAGGUCGGGGAUAUGAAAAUAAAUGUCUUCACAGGGUCAGCAGCUUACCAGGGGAGGCAAAAAUGGAAUGAAUGAUGGAAAACUUGAUCUUCAUUUACCGCUCCAAGCUCUGCGCGUUUAAUCCGCUGUUGUAUCCUCAGCCUGCGAACCUACGCAUAUCGAAGCUCAUUCUUAAAGAACACAUUUCUAAUGGCAAUUGGAGAGUAAUUUAAAACAUGCUAAACUGAGAAAGUGGUAGCAACAAGCAAUUGCUCUCACCUCCUCCAUAUGCAAGAAAAUUUUGUUGCGACGACUCCGAAUAUUAUCUUGAAUUUCCUGCAGCUCCAUUGUCGCAAGGUCCUGCACUGUUUCAGGCCCCUCUAUGAUACAAAAUCUGCACAAUUAAGCAUGUAAAAACAAAAAUUUACAGGCUACAAAGCAAUUUCCAUAAUUUUUGGGUUAAUUAACAUCAACAGCAGAUAAAUCACAUGGGUUUUUCACAUAAAGUUACAAACUUUCAAAGACCAGUAAGCUGUCUGCAAUCUCAUAAAUUUCACAGUGCAAAGUAACAAUCCAAAGCUUGGAAAAUUUUCAUUUUCUGUUAAUUUCCUAGAGAGAGAGAGGGGGGAGUACCCGGCGGGGUUUGUAUCGGCGGCGGGAUUGGGAUCAGAAUCGACAGACGGAGCGAAAGAGGAGGAGUCGGGCUCCGAAGCCAUGGCCAGGGAUCACCAUCUGGAGCUGCUUGUUGAUAUGGGGCUUCUUGGGUAGCUGAAUUUGGAGCAGCCGGAGCUACGCAGUUUGUACGGACAGCACCGAUUUACGGGGAAAGAAACGGCAAAAAGUCUGCCGGAGCAGAGCAUCUCUCUCUCUCAAACCAGAAGGCAGAGCUUUCUGUUUCUCUACAGGUUUCUUUCACUGGUAAAUUCCGGAGAAGCAGAGAAGAAGGGUCAAAGGGCCAUGUAUAGUUUUAUAGUCAUACAAAAAAUUAUAUUUUAAUAAAAAAUGUAAGGCCAUAUUUUAUUAGGAAAAUUAAUGAAAAGGCUUGAAAACUUUGAGUUUUAAUGAUAAGGACAAAAUAAAGGGUAAAGUGAAUAGUACCAUGAUUGACUUUUUAGUGUAAAAAUGUGGUUUUUGGUUAAAGUAAACAGUACCAGGUGCUUUUCGUUAAAGUUCCCUAUUUUAUUCCAUAUCCAACUUAGUGGGCCAAUGGACCGUAGGCCAAACAUAGUCAUUUGACAAAAAUCUUAUCUCUAACCGAGAGAGCUAAAGGACCGUAGGCCGAAUAUAACUCCUUAAUAAUUUACUUUUAACGAGUGACUCAAUUAACUAUUUUCAUUUCUUACACGUUCAAAAUUAGACAAAUUCUUUGCAUACAUAAAAAAAAUAUAUAUAUAUUAAGGAGAGAGUAUUAAACUAUUACAUUACGGGUUUCGAACUCGCGAGAACCCUAAUGCCUCUCCACUAGGAUAUUAGACCAGUAAAUUAAAAAGAAAUAUUUAUAGAGGGCUGGAACCAGUCGAAGCUGGGGGGCUAGGCCCUCACGCCCAUAUUAUAUUACUUGAAAAAAAAACAUACAACAAGGAGGACAUAGUACUGAAACCCUGACAAUCAAAAGCAAAAUCAUAUACGACCACUCCAAGCAGUCAACAUAACCAUCACAUAUUGAAUCCAAAAGGUUGACGACCCAUUCGCUGCAUAUAAUGUACAGAAGAUAACAAAUUUUGAAGUGAUGCUCCAAGUAUGAUAUUGGGCAGAAAAGAGCGGCGGCUUCAACCACUUCUUCAGCUAUAUCCGGCUGGGUGAGAGCAGCUAAAGACAUGAUUGUUCCCUAAGAACAUGAAUACAUUGAGUAAACACCAAAAGUAACUGCUAGGGAAGGAGAUUUGAAGUAGAUUAAGAGGUUUAAUACCUGUGAAUGUCCAACAACAAAGACGUUGGAGCUUGUUGAAUACAUGCAGCGCAUCAUUUCUGAUAGAUCAAAUCGAGCCAAUUCCUGCCAACUCCAAUCCCAAAAAUCCUACAGUAAAGCAUAAAUCUUGUUCUUUUCUGAUAAAGAUGUGUCCCUGACUCCAACGUGUUUGACGCACAUUUUCUACCCAUACAUCGAAACCUUCAUCUGCUGGAGAAUUUAAGAAUCAUGCAUCACCUGGUUAAGAUCAAGAAAAGCCAGUAACCAAUUUCAAUUGAGUUUGAAGCACAUUAGAGCCCAAUUUAAAAUGUAUCCGAUGGAUGUUCAUCACUUCACACAAUAGUUAGUUUCAAGAAAGGAAAUUUCAACGCAACCUGAAAACUUCAGAUCAGGGGGCACCAAAUAGUGAGCUAUACAUUCAAAUUUUGAAAUAAUCAACGCACAAUAUGUUGAAAAAAGUUGGAAGGAGCUAUGAAAGUAAGGCUUUUCACUAAUCAGGCGUCCAGAGAAUCAAUAUUUUUACUCACGGAUCAGUUAGGGCGAACACUCCCCACCAAAGCAAUCUCAUUAGUACUUCACAUCUCAAACCAAACAGAAAUUGCAGUAACAAACAUGACAUCUAUUAGUCCUUCACAUCUCAAAUCCAGUAAGUACCCAUCUUUCGUCAGAAUCUGGAAAACAAGCAGCAGUGGAUUUAACAAUCUGGGUAUCUCAAAGUUACUCACUUUAAUCACAACAUAUAAAUGGGCAUUUUCUAGUGAAAUGUUAGUGUAGUACUCACUGUGUUGCUCCGAGCAAGAGUACCCAGAAAGCUCGAUGAGCUGAGCACAGAGGGACUGCAGUGGUGAAACGGCGACCGAUUCUGUAAAAUUCAGUCCGGUUUUGGGUGAUUUCUGAGGCUGAUAAGGAAAGCUGGGACGGAAGGGCACAAGUCUGGAAGAAAGGCUCUGGUCACCAUUGUCGCGAUUCGUGGAGGAAGAAGUGCCCCAAAACAAUUUCAGUCCUGAACAGGUGCACCGUUUGCACUGGGCCAGGGCCGACCCUGAAUCGCUAUAGCGUCCUUCUCCAAACAGUAUAUAUACAGAUGCUAGAAAUAUCUACCAGAACCAUUCAAAUCUAGCAUCUACAGCUUUAGCAUUUAGUUGGUACAAGGUACACUCUUCCGAAGGGAGAUGAAAUCAUUGAGGCUCUUAUAUAUUCCUCCUCUUGAUGUGCCCCUGUAGACUGCUAAUUCCAGACGAUCCAAUCUCAUACAUGUUCCCUGCAAAAGCAUGCGUGCCAGACUUCAAGAUCAAACUCGUUAGCGGAAUAAAUGGUGCACAAAGGGAUUUAAAAUCUUGACAUAUGUGUAUUUUUGGCAGAUUUUAUGCGAGCAUGCAACUAAAACUGGCAUCACUAUCAAUGGUGCACAAAGAUCGGCAGAAAAAACGUAAAGAGAAGCAAUCACAACGCAAAAUGUACGAAGUAAUCUGUCCACGUAUUGGGAAAACAUUAACACUGGAUGAGGGGAAUAAACAUGGAAUUUUGAUAAAAGUCAGAAUUUAUAAAUUGACAUGCAGUAAUUUUCUUGUUUGGAUUUAUAAACAUAUAAAUUUAGAAUUUCCGCGUGGGAAAAACAAAACUUGGAACUUAUGACCUCCAAUUCUCAAGUUUAAAUUUCAUGUAAAUAUGUGUCAUUUCUAAAUUUCCAUGAGAGAGUUUAAAGAUAACAAAUACUGUUAUUUCAAUUUCUAUCAUUUUAAAAUUUCUUAGUAAUCUUAAAUUUCCUCUUCCAAACAGAGUGUAACAGUUUGUAACUUCUCCAUUGUAUUUGUUCAACUAUGCAAUUUUCUGUAAAACUUAAAAGGCUGCUUAGCAUCUCUUGUUCGUUGUAUUGAAUACCAUGGUUUUACCGAUGAAUGCAAAGUUUGCUGAUGAUUCAUACGACAAGCAAUUGAAAAUCCCAUUAUUAUGCCCCACAUCAUUUACACAAAUUCAGAGGGCUCAUCCACUGUAAUUUGCAGGUACAGAAAUGUUAUGAUUAAAGGAAAUGCAAACUACCUUUCACCCAGAUUGGAGGAGCACCGGUGGCAUUAGCAAGUGAGCAACAGGAAUUGACAUACCAAUAUCUUCACAGUUUCCGCACAAGCACAAAUCAAAAGAAUCCGGCGGCGGAGUUAUGUACCUCUUCUUGGAAAAAGACACCUCUUGGGAUUUCAUAAAAUCCGGCUGUGCCUAGACGUCUGACCACGCCAAUUCCACCAAAGCUGCUGCAACGCGGCGUAGUGUCCGAUUGAUUGCUUCAAAACAGAGCUUCGUAUCCAUGUGUUUAUAAGCACAGAGUACCCAAAACCCCAGAAAAUUAUUUCUUUAUUCAGAUAAUAAAAUUUCGCAAAUUUCGAAUUUUAAUUCCGAACCAAAAAUAGGGUUUGAAUUUUGAUUACCUAGAAAUUGGGGGUUGGGGUGGAGAGGGACUGAGGCCAAGACGCAGCUAUGUGUCCGUGAUCAGGUGUGCCAAUUUACAGAGGGUGUCGGGAAGAUGCACAAGGCUUUUGCAGUUUCUCAGAUUUAAAUACUGAAGCCCCGUAAGGCGUUCAAUCCAGGGGGAAAGCUCUUUGAUAGAUGUUCCAUCCAAGAAAAGCGCUCUUAAUCCUUCCAUAUUUUCUUCAAUGCUUGGAAACACCUCAAACUUUGUACAACCGGAAAGAGAGAGAUAGACCAGGGACUUGAGCUGACAAAUGCUGCUUGGAAGACCCUUAAGUUCCUUGCAAUCAUCUAGCUUUAAAUAACUCAAUCCCGUGAGAUUAUUAAUUGACGAGGGCAGUUCUUUAAUUUUUGACCCGGAAAAAUAAAGAACUUUUAACCCCUCAAUCACUUCUGAAAUCUCUGGAAACAUCUCUAGACUCGAGCAACCAGAAAGAUUAAGAGUUUUGAGAGAUUUCAUACGAAUGCUGCUUGGAAGACACUUAAGUUCCUUGCAAUCAUCUAGGAGCAAAUGACUCAACCCCGUGAGGUUAUUAAUUGACAGGGGUAGUUCUUUAAUUUUUGACCCGGAUAACUCAAGCUCUUCUAACCCCUCAAUCACUUCUGAAAUCUCUGGAAACAUCUCUAGACUCGAGCAUCCAGAAAGAUUAACGGCUUUGAGAGAUUUCACAAGAAUGCUGCUUGAAAGACACUUAAGUUCCUCGCAAUGAUCCAAGCUUAAAUAACUCAACCCAGUGAGAUUAUUAAUUGACGAGGGCAAUUCUUUAAUUUUUGACCCGGAUAAAUCAAGAAAUUCUAACCCCUCGAUCACUUCUGAAAUCUCUGGAAACAUCUCUAGACUCGAGCAACCAGAAAGAUUAAGCACUUUGAGAGAUUUCAUACGAAUGCUGCUUGGAAGACACUUAAGUUCCUUGCAAUCAUCUAGGUGCAAAUGACUCAACCCCGUGAGGUUAUUAAUUGACGGGGGUAGUUCUUUAAUUUUUGACCCGGAUAACUCAAGCUCUUCUAACCCCUCAAUCACUUCUGAAAUCUCUGGAAACAUCUCUAGACUCGAGCAGCCAGAAAGAUUAAGGGUUGUGAGAGAUUUCAUACGAAUGCUGCUUGGAAGACACUUAAGUUCCUCGCAAUUAUCUAGGCUUAAAUAACUCAAACCACUGAGAUUAUUAAUUGAUGGGGGCAAUUCUUUAAUUUUUGACCCGGAUAAAUCAAGAACUUCUAACCCCUCAAUCACUUCUGAAAUCUCUGGAAACUUCUCAAGACUCAGGCAGCCAGAAAGAAAGGAAUUUAAGAGAUUUCAUACGAAUGCUACUUGGAAGACACUUAAGUUCCUUGCAAUCAUCUAGGAUCAAACGACUCAACCCCGUGAGGUUAUUAAUUGACGAUGGCAGUUCUUUAAUUUUUGACCUAGAUAAAUCAAGCUGUUCUAACCCCUCAAUCACUUGUAAAAUCUCUGGAAACAUCUCAAGACUCCAGCAGCCAGAAAGAUUAAAGGUUUUGAGAGAUUUGAUACGAAUGUUGCUUGGAAGACUCUUAAGUUCCUUGCAAUUUUCUAGGUUCAAAUGACUCAACCCCGUGAGAUUAUUAAUUGACGAGGACAGUUCUUUAAUUUUUGACUUGGAUAAAUCAAGCUCUUCUAACUCCUCCAUACCUUCUAAAAUCUCUGGAAACAUCUCAAGACUGGAGCAGCCAGAAAGAUUAAAGGUUUUGAGAGAUUUCAUACGAAUGCUGCUGGGUAGAAUCUUAAGUUUCUCGCACCCUUUCAGAUUCAAUAAAACAAGGUUUCUAAGAGUCCUAAUAGACUGGUGAACCUCAACUAAGCUUCUACAACCUUGAAGAAUUAGCCUCUCAAGAUUUGGCACAUUUGUGAAGUCAGGGGUUUCCUCAAGGUAUUGACAAUAACUUAAAUUGAUGACUUCCAACUUUUCCAGCGUCUGUUAAAACAUUUAGGAAAGCAUGCAUUACUUAAUAAGACAUCUCACUCAAAACCCAAACAUUUAAAAGAAACAAAUACAUGUAAAUGAUUGUACAUACCUGGGUUCCUUCCCAAAGUCGGUCAAUGAGACUAAAUUGCAUGUCAAGUUCAACAAGAUUUUUGAAUUGAAAGUUGGAUAGCAAAGACUUGAGAGGGAAUCCAAACCAGGAGAGAUACCUCAAGUUAAGUAACUUAAAGGGCCCAAUCAAGUGGUGUUUGCAGUAAUCAUGUUUAGAAAUGGAGUCCUUAUGACUGAUCUUGAUAAGUCUUAGUUGAUUCAUGCUAACAAAAGCUUCAGCAUUUAAGCAUACCCAGUCUGAGUACGAGAAAUCCACGAUUAUGCUUUCAACUGAUUUUGUAGCCUGUGUAAAUCAAAGUAAGGGAAAAUACAGAGAACCUUAGUUUAGAUUAUGAAACUAAUACUUGUUUCUUAAGGAGCCGUUUGAUAAUCAUUUUGUUUUUAGUUUAAUUGUUUUCAAUUUUCAAUUAUUAAAACAAUAAACACUAAAGGUUGUACCCAGUGCACAAGGCUCCCGCUUUACGCAGGGUCUGGGAGAGAUGAAUGUUGGCUAGCCUUACCCCCAUUUAUGGAGAGGCUGCUUCCAAGUCUCGAACCCGAGACCUACCGCUCAUGGGCGAAGGCACUUGUCAUCACACCAAGUGCGACCUCUUAUUAAAACAAUAAACACUAAAAAUUAAAAAUUAAAAACAAAAAUACUUAUCAAACGGACCUAAGAAAUUGAUUUUGAUCAAAAGUUGAAACUUUUUAUUGACAAUAAGAAAAAGAUUUCUCACCGUAUUUUGAGAUAGCACGUGAUGAACAUCUUCAUAACUACACAACCUACUUCGUCUCCCAGGCUCUUUGAUACAUUCUUGGCGGACGAUUUCCCGACCCAUUUCCUCUAAUGAAUCAUGCAUCUCCAGUUCCCCCUCCCCUGAGACAGUUAUGAGAGCUCGAUCGAUUAGAACUCUUAUUCCAGUAUAAGGAUGGAAACCACAAACUUCCAGAAUUCGGGUUGCACAGUCUUUCUUCAUCCCUUUAAAGAAACAUGCAAUGUCCAGAAAGAUGUCCUUCUCCUUGUCAUCUAGUCCAUCGAAGCUUGAUUUAAGCACAUCAUGAAUUCCCCUUCGUGGGAUUUUCCUUAUUUUUUCUAACUCAUCUUCCCACUCGCGUAUAGUUUUGUUACCAAGAAAAGCUCCCAAGACUUUGUGUGCUAAAGGCAGGCCUUGAGCAUAUUCUACGACAUGAUUCGAGAGAUCAUCAUAAUCUCUGGUAGGUUGGUUUUUUCUGAAGGCGUGCCGCCUAAAGAGUUUCAGAGCUCCAGAAUCACUCAAAAUCUUGGGAUUAUAUAUCACAUCAGCUAUGCUUAGUAAUUGCGAAUCUCUAGUUGUUAUAAUAAUUCUGCUUCCACAACCAAAGGAAUGUGGCUCUUCAAGUAAAGCUUCAAUUUGUUCUAAUUCGUCCACAUCAUCAACAACAAUAAGAACUUUUCUCUGACCAAGGCUUUUUAACAUCACCUGAAAACCAUUUUUUGAUAUGUCAGAACUCCCCACCUUGUUGUUCGAGAUAUUCGAUAGAAGUUGUGCCUGCAUAUGUAGUUUGCCAUGCUUCAUGAAACCUUCCUUGAAAUUUUCAAGAAAGCAACAAGCUUCAAAUCGAUUAGCGAUUUUAUCAUAAACAGCUCUAGCGAUGGUUGUUUUGCCUAAACCACCCAUACCCCAUAUUCCAACAACGCGAACAUUAUUCGUUUCACCUCCGGGAGGAUAUAAUAAUAAAUGCAUUUCAUGCAUGUGAGAAUCCAUGUCAACCAAGCCAUUAUCUUUGCUUGAUGUUGAUGAGAUGUCGAUCAAUUUCCUAUAAACAUCUUCUACAAUUUCCUCAAUAAGCACCGCAUCAUUUCUGUCAAAUUUAAAAAACAAUAUAAUAACACCACCAAAUGAUAAUUAAUGGGUCUUUUUCAUCUGUUAGUUUUCAAAAAAAUAGAAAUUAAAACUAAAAACUAAAUAUUUAUCAAAUUACCCCUAAACGUUACAAAAAUCCCAAAAAUUACUAGGAAACUAAAACAAAUUAGAAUUUACUCAUAGUUUCGCGAAUCCCAGCCGGCUAAACUGGUGGCAGUUGUAAGAGCGGAUCUCCAGCUCCGAACCUCCUCUAUUUCGGCGUUAGAAUCGAUAUCGUGCUGAGCAAAAGCUUCCGCGAAACUUUUCUUGAGUUUACGAACAUCAGACGGAUCAACUUCAUAGAAAAUGGGGAGUACAAUCUGGUUAUUGGUACCUUGCAUUCCAGGAUUUGCACGAGUUCCUUCAAGCACCAAGUGGAAGAAGCAUAGUUUUGAGAGAAAACUACAAUCGAAAGCCUCGACUCUUGAAUCGCUGUCAGGAGCUCGGAAAGGUGGUCGCCUUUUCUGAACUUUUCGGCAUCAAUGAAGGCGUUGAUUGGUUUCUUAGCCAGAGCGUUGUAGAGAUGGCUGACGAAGCCCCUGCGAGUGUCUUCCCCUCUGAAAUUGAUGAACACAUCGUAUUUCCAACCAAAGCCAGAAGAAGAAAAAGAAGAAGAAGAAGAAGCAACCAUUUAUCGAUCGCACCUGGUCACCGAUGAUCGAGCAGUUAUGACUAAGAGAAUUGUAAGUACAUAAAUACUCAAUGAGUCAAUGCAAAAGGGAAAAAGCGAAAAGGAAAUGGUUGUGAUAUCCAUACUUUAUUUUACUUUUUUAUACAUUUUUGAUAAUUUAUUUUUGUUAAUUUUUUUUAAUUCAUCUAGUUUUACAUUUAAAAAUUAAAAAAAUUUAUGAGAAGUUGAAAUGUGUGAAUAUCACGUCCAAAGGAAAAUUAUGCUUUUAUGUGUUUUCAGAUCUUCUUCAGGGAAAUUUCGAUGGGAAUGGAAUCUGCAUGCUUUUGAUUUUUAACCCAAGAAAAUGCCAAGAAAGGGGUCAAAGUAGUAAAUUUAAUCUACACUUGCCUACCCAACCACCUCUUAAUUUAAUAUAUUUAAUCGAGAAAAGUAGGUUAGAGGAAGGAUGGUAUCUCCUUUUCCUCUCUCAGUCUUCCAGCAUGCCAUUUAAUCAUGAUUAAGGCUAAAGCUUAAUUAUAGAUCUUGAUUGGAUUAUUAGUUUCCGUUGUAAUAUGGUGGUUAGAAGAUUAAAAAAAUUAUGAUUUAUGCUUUCAUAUGCUAACAAUUAAUGAAGAAUUAACAAAAUUUUAAAUUUUAAAUCUAAAUCCUAACAUAUUUUACCAUAGAAGCUUAAAUCUUAAUUUACUUAUCACAUGGAUUAUUUUAUAACUACCUUACUAUUAAUUCAAUUAAACCUAUUAUUUCUACGAAAACUAAAGAAAAGUUAAAAAAAAACUUUAGUUUUAAUGAAAAAAGAAAAAUGAAUGUGUAGUAAAUAAUACCAGAAAAAAAUAAAAAAAAUAAUUUUUUAUUAAAAAUAAACAGUAUAAAAAAUGUUGCAUUAAUACUCUCAUUAUUUAUUUACAAAUACGUGACUAAAUCACAAAGUGUUAGAAUGAAAGGGAGCGCUCAAAACGAUGAAAAGCAGGAGCACAGAAAGCUAUCUCCGUUUCUUUGUUGAGCGGACAACUGUUUAUUUGUCGUUCUUUUGGCAGAUAGCUCCUAAUGGCCCAUUUCCACAGCUGGUUAUAGGAUUCUGUUGCUAUAUAAGAAGUGUUUUGUUGUAAUUCAAUAUCGAUGGAAAUUCAACAGGAUCUUUUUCAAAAUUUUGUGAGGAUUUUGGGGUGUUCGUGAAUCUUGUUCAUCGUAUAUUGUGUAGUUGUUUUUUAUCGAAUAUUAUUUUUGUUUAAUUUUAAAUAAAGUAAUUUAAAAUAAUUUUUUACUGCAAGAUGUAUGAUGAACGUAUAUGAUUCACAGAUCUCCAAAAUCCUCACAAAGAAAAUCCAAAAAUGAUCUGAAUUCAAUGGAGAUAAGUUAAUUUUGAAUCAAAUAACAUUAGGAAAGAAAAAUAACAUUAGACGCCAGUCGGGCGAAGGAUUGGAGCCUAGUGCCUAGGCAGCUAGGCGAAGCCUGGGCGAUUAGGCGGCUAGGCGGCCUAGACGGUUUUAAAUAAUUUAUUGUAUAUUUGUAUAAAAUUAUUAUUAGCACUUCAAAAAUCUCAUUUUAUACUCCAAAUUUUCUAUAUUAAAAAAGAAAAAUACACUUAUGAUGAGUGUAGAAUGAGAUUUUUGAAAUGCCAAUACACUUCUCUAUUUUUAUUAUAUAAAUCAGUUGGACUUAAAAAAGAAAAUAAAGAAAAUAAAACAUUGUUCAAAAACUAAAACUCUAUAAAUAUAAAAAGUCAGGUCUUGAUUUAUCAUUACAAUUGAUAAAUAAAGGAGUGUGCUAUCUACACAACUUUUUUUACUUCUCACUCCUAAAUAAAAAAAUGAUGUGUGGAUAUCACAUCCCUAAAUAAAAUAUAUAAAUAUAGAUAGUUGGAGGAUAUCCAAGAGACAUUCUUUGGAGGAUUUUAGAGAAGAAAGGAGUACGAGUAUAUAUCCAAGCUAUAAAGGAUAUGUAUGAAGGAGCAAAGACUGCCGUAAGAACUCAUGAAGGACAAACCGAAAGCUUUCCCAUAACUGUAGGAUUACAUCAAGGCUCAUCCUUAAGUCCUUACCUUUUUGCGUUGGUAAUGGAUAAGUUAACAGGACAUAUUCAAGAUGAUAUUCCUUGGUGUAUGCUUUUCGCAGACGAUAUAGUGUUGAUAGAUGAAACUCAGGAAGGGGUAAAUGCAAAGCUUAACCUUUGAAGAGAAGUGUUGGAAUCUAAAGGUCUUCGCCUAAGCCGAUCAAAGACAGAAUAUAUGGAGUGCAAGUUCAGUACAAAUGAAGGCCAAAACGAGUUAGGGGUGAGGAUCGGAGAUCAAGAAAUACCAAAGAGCAACCGUUUUCGUUACCUAUGAUCUAUCUUGCAAAAGAACGGAGAAUUAGAUGGAGAUCUCAAUCAUAGAAUGCAAGCUGGAUGGGUGAAGUGGAAGAGUGCAUCCGGCGUGUUGUGUGACCGCCGUAUGCCACUGAAGCUCAAGGGAAAAUUUUAUAGGACGGCAAUAAGGCCGGUGAUGCUGUAUGGCACAGAAUGUUGGGCAGUGAAGCAUCAACACGUACACAAAAUGGGUGUAGCGAAGAUGAGGAUGCUUCGUUGGAUGUGUGGGCACACGAGAAAGGAUAAGAUUAGGAAUGAGGAUCCGGGGUAAAGUAGGAGUAGCCGAAAUUGAAGGAAAGAUGAGAGAAAAUCGGUUACGGUGGUUUGGACAUGUGCAAAGAAGGCCUACUGACGCUCCGAUUAGAAUAUGCGACUAUGGGACAGAGGUUCAGGGCCGAAGGGGUAGAGGAAGACCUAGGAAAACUUUGGAAGAGACUUUAGGAAAAGACUUAGAGUACUUGGAUCUAACGAAGGACAUGACACAGGACCGAGCACAAUGGCGUUCUAAGAUUCAUAUAGCCGAUCCCACUCAGUGACUUGGAUUUUCCAAGUCUCCAACCGAGAAGUUUUCCUCACUCGGGAAAUUAAGGGAACACUACCUCAACCUACAUGCUCCACUCACAAAGCUUCAACAAAAGAAAAUUCAAAGAACUUAGCGAAGAAUGAUUUGGUGUAUUUAACACAAACGUUGAAAUGAAGGAAAGCUUAUUUAUUGAUAUUCCCGAUAAGCUACAAAUAUGUACAUAUACAUAAGGUUGCUUAGGAGAAGUCUCAGCAGCCGGUAGAGCCCCAGAAAGAGAAGGCACCAGAGGGGGAUCAUUCGGAGCCUCAGAACUGGACAGAACCCUAGAAGGAUGAGGCAUCAAAGGUUGAUCAUUUGGAGCUUCAUUACGCGGUACAGCCCCAGAAGAUGAAGGCAAUAAAUGCCUUUGGAACAAACCCACAAAUCUCUGAUGAUCAAGUAAAACCUGACCAUCAGAUUCCUUCAUCUGGUCAAGCUUCCUCUUCAUGUUUGUAGCAUAGUCAUGUGCGAGCCGGUGCAACUGUUUAUUCUCAUGCUUGAGCCAUCUAAUCUCCUGUUUGAGACUCAUCACUUUAGCCGCCAAUGAUUCAACUUGGCGGGUUCAAGCAAAUAGGCGUUGGGCCGUAUUAGACACAGAACCUGCACACUGAACACUGAGAGCCAGCGAAUCCUUAACAGCUAACUCAUCAGACCGUUUGGAAAGUAGUUUGUUAUCUUUGGGAGUGAGAAGGUUCCUGGCCAUCACCGCAGCGGUCAUAUCAUUCUUCAUUACGAAAUCCCCAACGGUAAGAGGACCAGUAGGGGAGACGAAGGAUGUGCGCCAUAUGUUGUCUGGAGAAGGCGGGGCUGCCUCUUUAACAAGGUUCAAGUCAAAACGACGGUCGGAGGGGCCAGACAUUUUCAAAGGUGUUGAAGAGAGAAGAUGUCGGAUAAAUCAAGAUCUUAGAAGUGCAAGAAUGGAGCUUCUACUGGUGGAUUUCAAGUGUGCUUUAGAACUUAAUGACAGCCCCUAUAAAAAUCUGCACUCGACGGAGCUUCAGAAAUCGAAGAGGCGUUUGCUUUCUCAAAAGUUGGGCUGCUCAAAGACCACGAAGGCCAAUCUCAGAAAUCGAAGAGGCGCUCGCUUUCUCAAAAGCUGGGCUACUCAGAGACCACGAGGGCCGAUCUCAGAAAUCGAAGAGGCACCUACUUUUCCAGCCUUGUCAGCACCUGUCACACGCACACUCAGCUUUGCGGAAAUUAUGGGCAUUCUGUCGAAGACUUCUGGUGAAGUAAAAAGCACAUGAAUCUUACUGUUCAAUCACCCACUUCCCACACGCAACAAUAGCUCAUGGGUACCACAGAUAACUUUGCCAAAGUUGAGCACGUGAAGCUUGCAGCUCCUACUACAUCGCUCUGACCAAGAAGGGUAAAAGAAUAGCAAAGAAACAGCACUAACAAAGUUUAGACCCAUAAAUUUUGAAGGUCUAGCUACCAUAUUAUUACCCACAAGGGUAAAGGAACAGUACCACUGCUGGAUAAUUGGAAAGUCCCUGUGUGUCAACCUCUGUGCUUCGUGGCAAGGUAGACUAGCAAACAUGCCCAACCUUUACUCACAUUCGAGAAAACACUCCCAAUAAGAUUGCUUGCUCCAAAAUCGAAGAGGCACCGUCCUCCGAAUCUCGAGAGCCAGACUCCCAACAUGAAUACUUUCUCAAAAAAAUCGAAGAGAGGGUAAAGGAACAGUACCAUUGCUGGAUAAUUGGAAAGUCCCUGUGUGUCAACCUCUGUGCUUCGUGGCAAGGUAGACUAGCAAACAUGCCCAACCUUUACUCACAUUCGAGAAAACACUCCCAACAAGAUUGCUUGCUCCAAAAUCGAAGAGGCACCGCCCUCCGAAUCUCGAGAGCCAGACUCCCAACAUGAUUACUUUCUCAAAAAUCGAAGAGACACUGCUAUCCCGAAUCUCGAGAGCCAGACCCCCAGCAUGAUUGCUUUCUCAAAAAUCGAAGAGGCAUCGUUCUCCGAAUCAAUCGAAGAGGCGCUCGCUUUCUCAAAAGCUGGUGGGCUGCUCAGAGACCACGAGGGCCGAUCUCAGAAAUCGAAGAGGCACCUACUUUUCUAGCCUUGUCAGCACCUGUCACACGCACACUCAGCUUUGCAGAAAUUAUGGGCAUUCUGUCGAAGACUUCUGGUGAAGUAGAAAGCACAUGAAUCUUACUGUUCAAUCACCCACUUCCCCACACGCAACAAUAGCUCAUGGGUACCACAGAUAACUUUGCCAAAGUUCUCUGCCAAAGUUGAGCACGUGAAGCUUGCAGCUCCCACUACAUCGCUCUGACCAAGAAAGGUAAAAGAAUAGCAAAGAAACAGCACUAACAAAGUUUAGACACAUAAAUUUUGAAGGUCUAGCUACCAUAUUAUUACCCACAAGGGUAAAGGAACAGUACCACUGCUGGAUAAUUGGAAAGUCCCUGUGUGUCAACCUCUGUGCUUCGUGGCAAGGUAGACUAGCAAACAUGCCCAACCUUUACUCACAUUCGAGAAAAACACUCCCAACAAGAUUGCUUGCUCCAAAAUCGAAGAGGCACCGUCCUCCGAAUCUCGAGAGCCAGACUCCCAACAUGACUACUUUCUCAAAAAUCGAAAAGGGUAAAGGAACAGUACCAUUGCUGGAUAAUUGGAAAGUCCCUGUGUGUCAACCUUUGUGCUUCGUGGCAAGGUAGACUAGCAAACAUGCCCAACCUUUACUCACAUUCGAGAAAACACUCCCAACAAGAUUGCUUGCUCCAAAAUCGAAGAGGCACCGCCCUCCGAAUCUCGAGAGCCAGACUCCCAACAUGAUUACUUUCUCAAAAAUCGAAGAGACACCGCUCUCCGAAUCUCGAGAGCCAGACCCCCAGCAUGAUUGCUUUCUAAAAAAUCGAAGAGGCAUCAUUCUCCGAAUCUCGAGAGCCAGAUCAUCAAUAGGAUUGCUUGUUCGAAAACCGAAGAGGCACCACUUUCCCAACUUCAAGAGCCGGAUCUCCUUGGAUAAAGCUUGUCUAUAAUCUUCACACGGAACAUCAGCUUUCCAGAUACCACAGACCACUUUUUCAAAGUGCUCUGACAGAGUUAAAACAUGUGAAGCUGGCAGGUCCCACUACCGUGCUAUGACUAAGCAGGGUAAAGGAAUAGCAUUACUACUUGUUGUUAGGGAGACUCCUAUAUAUGUCGACCUCCAUCCCCAACGACAGGCAGACCUGCAAAAAUGCUCAACCCUUCCUCAUAUCUGAGAGGCCACUCCCAACGAAGCCUUUCAAAAUAUUCAGCUUUCUUCCCCCUCCCCGAUAAUACCUCUGCAAACAAGCUAUACUAGAGCAAGAAUAUCUCAUAUCAUCAGGGUUAAAAGCAAGAGUAUCCCAUAUCAUGCUUUUUCCCUGUCUUUUCCUUUGGCCUUGUUUUUACCUGCAAGACAAGGAGAAAGAGAGCAAUCAGUCAGCACUUGGAAUCAAGCUUCCAGCCAGGAACUGACUGCCUGGAACCCCUUACCUGAUUACUUACCUGGCAUUGCUCUCGAGUACUCAUCUUCAACAUCUUAUGUUUCCAGGGAAGAUUACCGCAUCUGCCUUGAGGAACAGAUAGGGCAAGUGCGAAGGAUACAAGGAAGCAUGUGGAGACAAGCGUAACAGCACACGUGCCGAUACAUCCAUUACUCUGUCAAAAGCAAAAGUAUCCCAUAUCAGCAGGGUCGAACGUACUCUAGAUUUGAUGGACUUGUUUUGACCCUCAAAUUCUUCAGUCGGCCUUAUACUCUGGAGGAAACCAGAAAACCCUCCAGCUCAGUUCAAGAAUAAGCCUGUGGAAAGUUACUUCUUCAAAAGCAAAAGUAUCUCAUAUCAUCUCUUCUCAUUUUUCUUCUCUUUAUCCUUCAUGCUGCCUGCAAGAUGGGGAGAAGGUGAACAAUCAGCCGGAGCUCUGAUUGCUUACCUUGUCUGUCACCUCUUUCAGCAGAUCCCCUAGCUCGGCGACUUGGGGGACUCCUACUACAUGGUUUGUAUCGCGCUUGACCAAGCCUGAAACUACAAGUAAGCUUCAAGUGAAAUUGAUACAUUACCUUGUGCAUCUCCACCAGUUAAAGAUACCACCCCUGGAUGGAGGAAGAGUACUUCCAGAGAAGAUGCCACAUCUACCUAUGAGACAGAUAAGGCAAGUCAAGACGAUACCACACUCCGAUACUUAGAAGUUUCGUGAUUACGAGAUCAUUCUCCCACAAUAUUUCCUAAUGUCAUUUGUACUAAAUCAUUCACUUGUACUCACUAAAGGAGAGCUUGAACCUAUGUACUUGUGUAAACCCUUCACAAUUAAUGAGAACUCCUCUAUUCCGUGGACGUAGCCAAUCUGGGUGAACCACGUACAUCUUGUGUUUGCUUUCCUAUCUCUAUCCAUUUAUAUACUUAUCCACACUAAUGACCGGAGCAAUCUAGCGAAGAUCACAAAAAGCAACCGUUUUCGCUACCUAGGAUCUAUCUUGCAAGAGAACGGAGAAUUAGAUGGAGAUCUCAACCAUAGAAUACAAGCUGGAUGGAUGAAGUGUAAGAGUGCAUCCGGCGUGUUGUGCGACCGUCGUAGGCCACUGAAGCUCAAGGCAAAAUUUUAUAGGACGGCAAUAAGGCCAGCGAUGUUGUAUGGCACAGAAUGUUGGGCGGUGAAGCAUCAACACGUACACAAAAUAGGUGUAGCGGAGAUGAGGAUGCUUCGUGGGAUGUGUGGGCACACGAGAAAGGAUAAGAUUGGGAAUGAGGAUAUCCGAGGUAAAGUAGGAGUAGCCGAAAUUGAAGUAAAGAUGAGAGAAAAUCGGUUCCGGUGAUUUGGACAUGUGCAAAGAAGGCCUACUGACGCUCCGGUUCGAAGAUGUGACUACGGAACAGAGGUUCAGGGCCGAAGGGGUAGAGGAAGACCUAGGAAAACUUUGGAAGAGACUCUAAGAAAAUACUUAGAGUACUUGGAUCUAACGGAGAACAUAACACAAAACCGAGCGCAAUGGCGUUCUAGGAUUCAUAUAGCCGACCCCACUUAGUUGGAAAAUGCUUUGUUGUUGUUGUUGUUGUUGUAUAGAUAGUUGGCGCUUUGUAGUGGGCGGUAAGUUCUAGUUUUACCAUUAAAAAAUAUACACUGUCAAACUAGUGUGGGUUCUAUCAAUUUUUUUAGUAUUUUAUUUAUUUUUUCACUCUGUCUCCGUGCCAUGGUCUUGAUAUUAUCACUCCUUUAAUAUUUUAUUCAUAUUUUAUUCUACUUGAUUUAUGAUGGUGUGUUUUUUUGACCAAGGUUUAUAAUGGUGUUUGUUCUAUAAGUCGGCAUAUUUGCCAACCGCAAUCGAUACUGUCGUUCUCAAACACAAAGCAAUAGUUUGCUACCGAAAACAACCAAAGUGUGACAAAGGGAACCGUCUUACACCUAACCUGUUUUUCCCUCAUCAAAUGAGCGCGUUGAUCUGCAGGUAUUUUCUGCCAUCUCAAAACCUGUUACAAAGAAAUAUAACGUUGAUGUCGAGCUGGAUAGCAUAUUAUACCAAUUAUGUGUACAAACCUAUUGAAAUAAAGUAGCUGUAGUUGCAUAUUACGACAGAUAUUAACGAAAACAAAAGAAGGCUCGCCUAUUCAAGAUCCUAAAUCCCGUGAUUCUUUUGUUUUUAGUUUCAGAAAUUUUCAGAGCACAAACUGGAAAGUACCAAGAUACUUACAUAUUGGGCAUAAUGAAAUGCAUCUUCAUCUUUCAAGCAAGAUUUGAGUGAGCGCAAACCGUCCUGAGAGUUACAUAAGUCAAUCAGUAAUAUAAAAACGUAUACGCAUCACAUCCAAACACAAGUAUUCAAACACCAACAACUUCUUCAUGCGGUGAGGCAUGUUAAAAAAUAGGGAAGAACAGUUAUUGAAUAGGAAGUUAAAGGACUAAAUUUAUGACCUUGUGUUUGUAGUUCUUGGCUCGUAUGCGUUCAUCUAUUACAAAACCAAUCUGUAACAGGUACAACAGAAAAUAUAAGCAGUAGUCAGAACAUUAAUCUUCGGCAUUCACAUUGCCACCAAUCCAAAGUUAAAAGUCUGAAGGCAAAACAGUAUGAUUCUUAUCUCUCAAACAAAAAUGAAACUAUACCCCGGUCUCAGACAUAAAUGAAAUAAGUUCUACUGCCUCAACUGAGUACUGUGAUUAUAUAUAAAUCCAAUUCACCUUGUCAAGUAAUCUCUUAGGAUCUUGAAAUGCUUCCUUCUUAGCCCAGUCAUUAAAUACAUGCGAGAAAAUUGAUCUCUCAUCCACACUGAAUCUAUUGCACAGUGACAGAAGAAUAAAGUUAAACAUGAACAUAACCAACCAAAAAUGCUAGUUAUAAUAGUACACCCAUAAUUGCAAGCAAAACCUUUUUAAGAAGCCAUUUCCAUGGUUUUCCUCCCCAAAUUCCAUCAAUUCUGCAGAGGCAACGUCAAAUUUACUAUGAUGGAGAUCAUUUUGCACUGUAAUAACUUCAGAAGGUAGGAGAUUUGGUUUCAGAUCAUCUGUUGACGGAGUAGUUUCUUUUGAAGUGUCAUGAUGCUUUGAUUGCAAGCCUUCUGUACUUACGUCAGCCUACAAAACAAAAAUUGCAUUCAUCCACACUAGACUUAAUAAGAUUAGAAACACUUCAGAUUCUUCAUUAUUUGUAUUUUUGACUAAACAGCAGAACAACUGAGGAUAAUGAACAGUAAUACACACCUGGACUUCUCGUAGAUGAUUUGGAAUUUCUUUCAGAAAUCGCGAAGGUUGAAGCAUCUGAAGGAGUCACCUUCUCAGUCAGAGCAACAACAACAAAUAAGGAGGACAGGAAUUCAAGCUAAAACGAACCUGCCAACUGGAAUCCAUCGUAACAUAAAGAAUGAAAAGCUUUUUUCGAGCACGAGUCAUUGCAACAUAUAAUAGGCGUCUCUCCUCCUAUGAUUAGAGUGGGAUUAUUGAGUUAUUGAUCAAAAGAAAAAAGAGUGGGAUUAUUGUGAAAAACAUGUCAAAGCUCUGCAUAUAACUGAAAAAUGUUGAACAAUUUACCACACACCUCAAUGGAGGUCCCAUUUUCUUUUGCAACCCCAUUGAAUUCAUGCAACAACGGGAUCUCAGAUUCAUUUACCUGUGUUAUUGGCAUGAGCAUUAAAGCAAGCUAAGAUGAUUUGAAGAGGUUGAUAUCGUCAUGAAUAUAGUAGAACAGAGAAUACCAAUUUCAAGCCAUCAAUUAGGUAUAGCAUUGGCAUGUUUAAUCCGUAAAAUCUAAUGACAGAACACCUCAACUCUACACAUAAAUAAAUAAACAACCUGAAAAAUAUUACAGCCACAUGUUAAGGCAAAUACCUUAAUUAUGAAAACUAUAUCCCACUCUAAACCUUUUGACUGCAAGAGAAUGAAAAAGAAAGACAGUAAGCCAAGAAUGUUUUGUAGAACUCCAAAGGAAGUCCAAUAGGGAAAUCAUCGCAAGUAUAAGAGUUAGCGAGGUUCGCAUAAGAGGAUAUCAAAAAGAUCUAGAACCUGAUGAAUAGUAGUCAAAGUGACAGAACUUUGGUUGUCAUGUCUUCGGGAGUGAAAAUUUUCACUCUCCUGCUCAGAUAUGUAGUCGAUGAAAGCUUUGAGUAAAUUAACGCAGCCUUUUUCUUCUGCUACGACUUCUCUCUCUCCCCUUUUCCCGCAACAAAAUGAGUUGAUAAGAAAUCAGAUACGUCGUCUAGUAGGUACUGAAGAACCUGCAAUGAGAAUAAUCGCAUCACAGCAACAGGGUUGGACCAAGAUUUAAGUGACAACAAUGAUUAACUAACUAAAAUAGAGAAAUUAUUCAUUUAAGACCUUGUUGACGGAAAAAAGGGUUUUCCAAGCAGCGGGUCAUUUAAGCUUAUUGUAUAAAUGACAAUCAUCACAAACGGCAAACUUACAGAUCUCACGUCAUUGUCUUCAUUCAGCAGUUUUCCUCCAUCUACAUCAACGACUGCACGUUGCUCAAGACGGUACUUCUAAAAAUUGAAAGUCAACAACAACAACAACAACAACAAAGCCUUUUCCCACUAAGUGGGGUCGGCUAUAUGAAUCCUAGAACGCCAUUGCGCUCGGUUUUGUGUCAUGUCCUCCGUUAGAUCCAAGUACUCUAAGUCUUUUCUUAGAGUCUCUUCCAAAGUUGUCCUAGGUCUUCCUCUACCCCUUCGGCCCUGAACCUCUGUCCCGUAGUCACAUCUUCGAACCGGAGCGUUAGUCGGCCUUCUUUGCACAUGUUCAAAAUCACCGGAGCCGAUUUUCUCUCAUAUUUCCUACAAUUUCGGCUACUCCUACUUUACCUCGGAUAUCCUCAUUCCCAAUCUUAUCCUUUCUCGUGUGCCCACACAUCCCACGAAGCAUCCUCAUCUCCGCUACACCCAUUUUGUGUACGUGUUGAUGCUUCACCACCCAACAUUCUGUGCCAUACAACAUCGCUAGCCUUAUUGCCGUCCUAUAAAAUUUUCCCUUGAGCUUCAGUGGCCUACGACGGUCACACAACACGCCGGAUGCACUCUUUCCAUCCAGCUCGUAUUCUAUGGUUGAGAUCUCCAUCUAAUUCUCCGUUCUCUUGCAAGAUAGAUCCUAGGUAGCGAAAACGAUCGCUUUUUGUGAUCUUCGCUAGAUUGCUCCGGUCAUUAGUGUGGAUAAGUAUAUAAAUGGAUAGAGAUAGGAAAGCAAACACAAGAUGUACGUGGUUCACCCAGAUUGGCUACGUCCACGGAAUAGAAGAGUUCUCAUUAAUUGUGAAGGGUUUACACAAGUACAUAGGUUCAAGCUUUCAUUUAGUGAGUACAAGUGAAUGAUUUAGUACAAAUGACAUUAGGAAAUAUUGUGGGAGAAUGAUCUCGUAAUCACGAAACUUCUAAGUAUCGGAGUGUGGUGUCGUCUUGACUUGCCUUAUCUGUCUCAUAGGUAGAUGUGGCAUCUUCUCUGGAAGUACUCUUCCUCAAACGAUAAAUUAUUACGAAGCAUUGAAUAUAAGCAUGAAACGAAGAAAAUGUUAUGGAAUGGUGAUCCUCAUCCUCAAAGAUGAUUAAAAGCAAUUUGAUUCAAAAAUGACAUAUCAACUCUGGAGAAAUGGAAGACAAACCUGUGGUACCAUAUUCGCAACUGAGGUUAUGACAGCUGAAAUCGAUUGUUCCUGUGUGCAUUGAUAAGUGAGACUACCAUAGAGAUUCACAACUAAAUAAAGACAGGUAUUCCACAGAACAACCUUUACCUCUUUGGAAACACAGAUCUAACAAAAACUAUAACAUUUUGGAUUAAUAUUGACGAAUCAAGAAUAAUGCAAGGGAGCAAGAGAUACUCUUCCUUCUAAUAACAAGGAGGCGUGAAAAGUAUACAGAGUUCCAACAAUUAGAGAACUAAAAUCAAACUAAAAAAAUCACCAAAGUAGACAGAAUCUCACUUCGCCAAAAAUUUGAAAAUAUAUCCUUUUUAUCCAUUGAGAUUCAUGAACUACUACUACUACUACAUCAUGCCAAUAAGCAAUGCGUAAGAGGUGCUACAAUUUACCGAAUAUAUUUACCCUGAGAACAAGUUUUGAAAUCAUCUCUAGUGUUAACAGCACCUUGCGUCCUUGGGUAAGCUGAGUCCUAUUAUCAAGUAAAGAGACCAAUCAGUACAUAUCCAAAAGAUCUUAAAUGCUUGUAAUACCAAAUAAGAAAGAAACAUGAGUAUAUCUUGAAUUAACCAUGUAAAAAUGUAAUGUUAAAGCAUCUUGUCAUACAGACCUCUUCAAGGUACCAGAAAUUUUUGCACUAAAGAUGUCACAAGCAGCUGAUAUGAAGCUGCAUUUUCUGUGAGUUGAAAUUUUGUCAAUAUAAUCGAUCACCUGAAGAGAGAGAGAGAGAAAAAGACAGUGAUAUCCAGAGAUGUGAGCCUAAAUGCUGAGUGUGUAAAAAAAGAAGAUUAAAUGGAUAGCAAGAAUAUACAACUUUAAUGCUGAAAAGAACAUUGAAUAUGAUGCUCAUUCAUCAUUCCCAUUGAACGUGUACCUUCUUCUUUUCCUCUUUCUCAAAAGCAAGUAGAGCCUUGAAGACUUGCCUAUAUGAUCCAUCAUCACAACCAGGCAAAGUUGUUUUAAUCAUAGCAACAAUGGCUCUAACUACCUGCCAUAAGAAACAUGCUACAUCAACAAGAUCACAGAGUGUACCAGAAACCGUAAUGUAGCAAAAUCUUGGAUAAAAUAGCUGACCAAAAGGGAAUGGAAAAGCAAGCACGAAAAACAAUGAAAAGGACCAGUGAUGCCAAAAUUCUGGUGGAAAAGGUGAAAAGCUUCUGCCUAUUACAAUUUUUGUAUGCAUUCUUUAUAACUUAAGUUCUACUAGCAAAAACCACCUUAUGCAAAAUAAUAUUGGAAAAAUUAGAUACAUACAACUGAGAAGAUAGGUUUUCAUAAUCUGGACAAGUGCUAACUACCUUCUUCCUAUAAACUGCCACUCCAUGAACAUUAAAUGGUAUUUUCCUUUCACGCAAGGCUGUCUGGAAGACUUUUCCUGAUACCUGUAGCAUAAAAUACAAAAGAAAAUGUGACCAAAAUGUCUUAUAUGAUUCACCUCAUUCACAUUAGCACUAAGGCAAGUAAGCUUGACCUGCCUCCGGUAAAGGAUUGCUAUAUUUCCAUAGGAGCACCCUGCUUCUGACCGUUUCGAUGCAGUCUCCAGGAUCUUGUCGACAACAAAGGCGCAUUGUGCAUCCUCAUUGUGACUUUCCUUGAUAAUUACCUACAUUUUGCCAGUAAAACCAGUGUCACUAACUAAAAGGACUGAAAAAUGACAUCAAAUUGUACUUGUUGGAGCAAGGAAAGAUUAAGUACCUUAGACCCAGAAGAAUUGUCCGUGUCAACAUUCUUUAGUUGGCAUCGCUUCUUAUUGUUUUUUAUAACAGAAGAUGCAGCUUCCACAAUAUAGCGUGUGGACCUAAAGUUUUUAUUAAGCCUAAUCUGAACCAUAAAGUUAUGUCAAAUCCCACAGAAACCCAUAAAAUAAAACUUACUUUCCUGUAAUUGUACAAUAUAUUUGUUCUAUACUAUAUAUAAUGAAAAAAGACACUGUGAAUGACAUAAGAUAACAUAGCAGUCAAGUGCGAAGCGAACCUCUUUGUAAUUUGAAAAAUCUUUACGAAAAGAAUCAAAUCCAGAAAUGUCCGCCCCAUUGAAACUGAAAAUGGACUGCAGCAGGAUAUAUGUUAUUUGAUUUAGAACAGAUAAGGGCUGGAUUAGAAUGAGCUGAGAGAGAGAGAGAGAGAGGGAGAGAGGGAGAGAGGGAGCAAUAACAUUGGAUUUCCAUAAUAAAUCAACAACAUGCCUGAUCAUCAUCACCAACAAUGGUUAUGUGGUUAUGAGAGGCGAGAAUCCGCAAAAGACUAUAUUGCAUAGCACUUGUGUCUUGAAACUCGUCUAUUACAAUAGCUUUCCAUGACUCCUGGCACUCCUUCAACACUAAUUAAGAGAACACCAUGUAUCAACAUUUAGCAUUACUUGUAAAACUAGAUAAAUCAAUGAAAUAUACUUAGAUGAUAGAGACCUUCAGGAAAAUCACUUAGCAGCUUCACAGAGCAGCUAAUUAAGUCGUGGUAGUCCAAAGCGUUGCACGAUUUCAAGAUAUCAUUGUAAUUCCUAAGAAUUUCACCCUGAUUCAGAUUGAGAGCUAAAACUCAUAAGCAAUAGUUUCAAAGAACUGAAAUGAUAUCUGAAAUUCUAGUUCUGAGCGUACUCCUGUCACAUCACCCAUUCUUCGGCAUUCAGCGGGAGUCUUUCCAGAAGCUUUUGCCUGAAACAUAAAUAAAUUUACUGCCUAAUGCCACAUAUUGUAAGACACACCAUUGUAUUGGUCAUUCUAGCUUGAUUGUAGCUAAUAUUUUUUAAAUCGAAUGAUUAGAGUUCUUAAUCCACAAUAAUCUGAACAUUAAAUUUGGUAUUCAAGACUAACCUGUGUCACAAACUUCAGCCAUUUCUUUGAUGCAUCCUUAAAAUGAUGUGGAGAUGUUACGCCGUCAGACUCUUCCCCAUCUAUAGCAACAUUAAGAUUCGUUUUACUCUUUUCAUCUUCUGAUAACCGCACAGCUUCAAUGAUUGCUCUUCUCUGUUGCCCAUGUCCAUAUAUCAAAAAUUCUGGUCUGCGCUUGAGUCUAAAACACAAGCCAACAUAACAGACUCAGCUAUACCACCAAAUGUAUGGUGUUCAAAAUCAAGGGAGGUGAAUCAAUAGCUUACUUCUCAGCAUGUGAUCGGCAAAGUUGCAAUGAAAAUGAAUGAAAUGUACUGAUUGUUAGUAGUUUUGCCGUUGCUUUCCCAGUCACAGAUCCAAUUCGAUCUCUCAUCUCGGAAGCUGCUGCUGUAGUGAAAGUCAUUGCUAGAAUGUUCGACGUGCUAAUGCCCUAAGAACACAAAAAAAAAAAAAAAACGAAUAAGAUUUCGAUCAUAAACAAGAAAUGUAGAGAAACACACAAUUACGAAAGAAAAAGUUAGAGGGAAAGUAGCAACACCUCAUUGAGCAGCAUUAGAACGCGCCCAACUAUCGUUGAAGUCUUUCCACUUCCAGGGCCGGCAACAAUCAUCAAAGGUACUGAAAUAUAGCUGCAAGCUGCCUCACGCUGCCUUUCGUUGAGAGAAAGCAAAUACUUCAAAUACUCAUCCGGCAUGUUAGGCAAUCCAUGGUUAACAGAAUCUGUUUGGUUUUCACUACUCAAAGGCGGCGCUGAUGGCACUAACGUGUUAUGACCCAAAUUAUUACUGAGGUUUUAUGCUUUAUUACUGUGAGGAAUUGUUAAUAUACCAGCUGGCAUUUAAAAGUGUAGAGGUUUUAUAAAAGGAGCCCCAGCUCCCCCAAAUGUAUCAGAUCAGAAUUUUACAAAAGAAAUCAAUAUUGGAGCUCUGCUCCUUCUUCUCUCCUUCCCUCUUCUUCCAUAGCUUUCUUGUGCCACUUACAGGUUGAUUAAGGGAAUUGAGAAUUAGAUCUUAUCAAUGGUAUCAUCCUUCUCGAAUCCUGGUUUCCCUCCUGUGCACACCCACCCACCUACGUUUUCUGCCAUGGUUGCUGCGCCCAAGGAUUCGCUUCGCGAGACCCUGGAUGCUCUAUUCGCACCCUACCUGGCUAAGAUCCGCCGUGCCCGUGAGUUGGCUCUCAGCGCUGAGGGAGACUCCACUCCAACCCUUAUGUUCGCUAUCAGUGAUGGGGGAGUUCCUGAUCCAGCCCCGAUGAUUGCCGAUGACGCUGCAGGAAUCGAUCUCGGUCAGAAAAUAAUUCCACGAGUCGCUGCAUCAACUAAUCAGAUUCUGCCGUUGCUCUCGUCAUCGCCGUUAUUGCGAGCACUAGCAAAUCCUCCUGUCAGGCCACCGUCGAACUCAAACGCUUCAUUGGCAAAUUCGCCCAGCCAGCCGCUACACUCAAAUGAUAUUGUAGCAGCCACAAUUCCAUUGCGGAAUGUUGAGAAAACCAGGCCCGUUGCGAUUGUGACCACAAUGCCGCUAUUUCCGAUUUCAGCAACCUUUAGCACUGAAUCAGCCCACGCUCACAAUCACAACCUCGUUUUGAGCACCAAGGAAGCUACAACAAUGGCGCAUGUUCUGGGUUUUCCUCUCAAGAAAGCAGGAGCUACUAAAUCUGUAGGUAUAUCUCAUACAAACACCACGAAGCGUCGACACGAGGUAUUGACAUCCUUGCUUUCCAAUUCUACAAAUCGGAAGGACAAAUGGUAUUGGGUUUUGCAGGUUAUUUUGGCAUAUUAUACUGGUGUUAUUGUGAUAAUGUAUGACGACUUCUUAACUGAUAAAUGUGGAUGGGGUAAUUGGUACCUUGUGGGACAAUUUGUGUUACACGCGCCCCUAAUUUAAAUCGUAUUUUUACUAAAUUUGAGUUUAUCUUGCUUUUAAAAUUAUUUUUGGGUUUUAAAUGGUGUGCCCAAGGCCCACCCCCUGUUUUGUCCCCCGUUCCCUUUCCCUUUCUUUUAUUUAUUUUCUUCUUUCUUCUUCUUCUUCUUCUUCUUUUCUGUUUCUUUUUCUUUCUUUUCCGUCUGUCCCUCUCGGCUCUCUCUGCGCCCUCUCUUCUCUGCACCGCAACAAGCACACGCACGCACCCAUUGCACCUGCGCGAGGAAGACCAUCAUCAUCUCGUCCUGCUCUCUCUCCCUCUCGUGUUUGCGAACCCAGAAAAUCGGAAAGGAUCUUCCGCGAGAUUUUUAUAUUUUCCGGUUAGGUAAGCCUCAAAUCCCUCUCUUUCGUCCUAGAAUCUUUUGAGAAUGGGUUCUAAUUGGUUUUAUUUCGUGAUUUUUGGAGGUUUUAGGAUGAAAACAAACUCGGGUGCAGGAACACCCAUUUCCGGCGAGGAACCCGCCACUUUCGAGUUAAUCUCCGGCCAAACCACGGCGAGUUGGCCGGCGUGCAAGGUAUCAAUCUCUUCGUCUCGUCGAUUACUACAACUUUCCUUUUUGUUUCACCCAAUUUCGUUGAGUAUUGAAGAAGUUAUACUCAUUUGAAUCUUACCCAGUUUCCGGCGAGUCCGACGGCUUUCGAGGCGUUUUCCGGUCAAACCACGGCGAAUUAGACGUCGUGUGAGGUACCAUUCUCUUCGUCUCUUCGAGGGCUACAACUUUCGUUUUUGUCUCGCUUGAUUUCGUUGAGUUUUAACAAAGUUAUAGCCAUUUAAAAUUGGGUGGUUUUCCGGCCGAAAUUCCAGCCUUCUUCUUCCUCGGGUCCGGCGACCCAUCAAACUUGGGCCCUUUGGGCCGUUUCUGUUAAGGGCUUUAAGCCCAAACCCUAAACCUUUGGGCUUUAGGACCAAACCCAAGAACCCAAACCCUAUGACCCAAACCCGGAUCCAAGCCCAGACCCGUUUGACCUGGUCCGACCCGGAUCCUGACCCGUUGACUUUGACCGGUCAACGUUGACUUUUCUAGUUGACUUUUCGGGUUUUCGUCCAAGACCUUCCUAGGCUAAUUUCGACGUCCUGGAUCCGUUUUUGAAGUUCGUUUUCCCAAAUUCAAUCGUUUGAGUAGAGUUUGACUAAAUGGAUCAUUUAUGUGCUUAGGUGAAUUUAAUGACGGCGGUUCCGUUAUUCCUAUUUGGUAUGGCGUUGCACCAACGGUGUACGGUGAGUGGACCCCUUCUAAAAUGCAUGUUUUAUAGUAGAAAUGCAUACAUAAAAAGUAUGAUUUGAUGAUUACCUUUUAUGAAACGUUUUGUGAGAUAACAUGCUUAUUGAGGCUACUUUAAAUUAUUACUAUUUUUCCUAUAACCCGUGUUCUUAUAGAAUAUCUGAUGGAUGACGAUAUGAUAUUAGAACAUGUUUAGAACACCUCUUUAUAGUAUAGAUGAUGGAUGACUUUAUACUAUGAAGUUGUUUUUCAAUAUAUAUGUUCAAUGGUUUUGUACUUACCUAGUGGUCAUUUCCGCUACGGGACGUAGGGAUAGAUUCCGGUCAUUCCCGGGCGACGGUUUGGUGUUGGCAUAGGGCCUGGAGUGUGUUUCCUCUGGCUAUUUAGCACAGGGACGGGGAGCCGGCAUGGGGCCUGAAGUGUAUUUUCCUCUGACUGUCUGCUCAGAGACGGGGAGCCGGCAUGGGGCCUGGGGGUUAUCGGACAAUUCACUAGUGAUUAUUAUAUAUAUAAAAGUUAUGAUUUGAGACACUGCACAUCAUGCUAGGUUUCGGAAAACCUAUGUUUAUCAUUAUAUAUGUGUUUUCAUAAAACUUGGGGGUUAGUACGUUGAUAACUGUUUUGUUAUAUUUAUAUCAAAUUGGUCCACUCAUGUUUGUUUUGCGCCCCCUUCAGGAUUUAGGAUCGAGGCGUACAAUCCCGGCAAUCCAGGCACUUCCGCAUCGGUAUCUUCAAGUCCUCUCGGUGUAGAACCCACUUCUGUGUUCAUUCAAUUUUUAUAUUAAUUCUUUUAAUGUUCUAGAUUAGAUGUGUGCUCUGAACACGUUCCUUAAAUGCAUAUUCUUUAUUUAUAUUUAUAAGUUUUAUCUAUCCUUUAUUUUCAGCAAUUGCACUCAAUAAAUGGCUUUCGUCGCCCUCGGGUGUCGGCCAGCACGUGACCAUCCUGAUAUCCUGAGGAUAUCGGGAUCGGGGCGUGUCAGAUUGGUAUCAGAGCGUGGUUUGUUCAGAGCAUACUUAGGAUCCUCUUCUAUUAUCGUAGAGUGUUGGUUUUGACAUCAUUUGGAUGUCCAGACUUCUAGAUUUGGUGCCAUUCGGCGCAGUCGUGCGAAUCUUCCUCUAUUUGAAUUGUCACAUUCGGGUUGAUAUACAAGAAUUUGUGUCGGGAUUGUGCCUCAUCGGUGACGUGUUUGAAUUGUUGGACGACUUUCAGCUUCAGAUUGAUACUCUACGACGUGCAUUCCCUGGGAAUGACGGGCAUAGUCGGUGUUACUUGGAAGCGACGGAUUUUAGAAAUCUCAGCUUAAGGAAGUCUGGUCAAGACCAGCUGUAAAUUCGAAAUGGCGAUGCCACUCUACAACAUGCGUUCCCUAGGAAUUGCGGGCGGAGUCGGCUUUGCAUCGAAAUCUUGGGAAGCGGAAAAAAAAUCUUGGCAGUACGAAUUGACUAAGACCAACUGGAGUUCUGAAGCGGUGUUGUACUCUGCAACAUGCGUUCCUUAGGAAUGGCGGGCAGAGUCGUAUCUCUUUAGAAAUUACUCGAAACUUUCGAAAUGCAGAUUGAAGAAGCGAGUAAGUGCUAGUGGUGACGACGGUUAGUAGGUGGUAGUUGGUGGGAGCAAAAUCAAUGUUCUCGAACUCAUUACCACUGAAGAAAUUUGGGUGAAUCUUUAUAACAGUUCUCUGUGAUUGUUUUAUCGAUUACCUUCUCGUUUAUUCCAACGACGAAGUCAAGUUCACUGACCUUUGAUCGUCAGCUUCACAUCAAAUCCCUCGAGAGUUGACUUCGUCUAGAGAUUAUACUUUUCUUGGGAAACUCCUCGGUAGCAGACGUUAUUCUCAUCAAUUUCGAAAUGGAGUUGCGAUUCUUGUUGUUGUUGUAGUUGAACUUGGAUAAUGAAGAUUCAGCCUUGUUUGGAUAAACAAAUUCCUUGAACUUCACCUGGGUUUGGUACUUGGUAGUAAACCCUAGUUCCUCAUCCGUGUACUUUUCAGUGAAGGUGAACUUAGUCCCUUGCUUGCAACCUAACUGUUCAGCCUUGUAAUUUUCAGCGUAAUGGCUUGAGACUCUAUCAUAUUCAUCAUUGUACGAAGAUCGAGCUUUACUCUGAACUUCUCUGGGCUCGUUAAGCUUUGAUUUGCUCAGAGGCAUCACUUUAAGGUAGCCAAUCGUGUCACUGCAUGCAUACACAAGCUGCUUUGUAUCUUUCUUCUUCGUUAUUCUGCUGAUUCAGAGGUUUUAUGUUUAAUUUCUGAAUUUUUAAAUGACUAUCGCGAAGUACCGUGAAUCUCGAAAUGUCUUUGGCCUCGUCAAAUCUUAUUAAUAGUUCUUGACUAUUCUUGAGAUUAGACUUGUUCCUUUUGGCUAAGAAACCAGUCGACCUUAUUGUGAUGAGUAGCCAAAUAAUCAUAAACAGUAACUUCUAUUUCUGCAUCUUCAUUUUCCUUCGUUUGUUUGUUUGUUUCUCAAUGUGAACUGGAUCAUGCCGGGACAUUACACGAAGGGUGUAAAAAAAAAAAAAAAAAAAAACGUUUGUUCUCGGCGUGGUUUCUAGUUCAAAUCCGGAUAUCUUGUACUCUAUAUUUAAUGGACUUGUUUUGAACCUUAAAUUCCUGAGUGUUCUUUUAGCCUUAUCGACAUGGUUUCUCUCUCAAUUAGUGAGAAAUUCAUGAUCGAUGGUUUCGGCGGAAGUGUGCGCCCAAUUCUUAUCGAUUUGGACAGGAAUGUUGGGAGCAUAAUCUUUUCACAAGCUUACUAGACUUACCAGAAAGAGUUCCACGUGGGUGUGAAGUUUGAGUUGUCUUUUGGUAAGAGACUGGUGAAGAUUGUGGUGCAGAUGAUUAGCAGAUUGUAUCACUAUCUUCACGCUGAAUUGAAUGGUCACCAUUCAUUAUCCUGCUGCAAUUCAUAAUCAUCAUAUCUUACUCUGGUAGACAUUUUUGAUGAUGUGUUCGCCUCAACGCAGCUUUCCACUACCUCUCACCAGGAUCCUUCGGUUCGAGAGCACGUGGGCGUGAGGUUGAGCGGUCUUUUAGUAAGAGUUGGUUGAAGGUUUUAGUUCAGAAGGUCAGCAUAUUGUAUCACCAUCUUACUAGAAUUCAUAGGCAUCACAUCGGUUAUUUUCCAACGAUAUGUGUUCGUGUCAAUGCAUACUUCGACUGCUUCACUUCUGAACCUUAUUCUUGUGAGUAUGUGGAUGUUGAAUCACUUAUAGCAGAUUUGUUUGGUGCACUCUGGAAUGGCACCACAACGUAGUUGAGAUAAGAAUCGGAAGAUCUUUGCACUUUUUGCGAAUGGUGUGUGCUCUCAUGGGGUGUUUAGGUUGAUUGCAUGAGAGUCAUUCUUUCCUCCAACAUUGAUCUUGUUUGACUAGAAAUCUGCAACUAAGCAAAAAUGGAGAGGUGGAUUGAGCACUACAACAGUUCCCAAGAGAUACUGCGUGUUGAGGAAGAUGACUUCUCGUUUUCUGCUUACCUAGUUCGAGCUUUUGGGUCUACUACUAACAUGGUGGCCACUUCUCUUGAAUCCCAAAGUACAGUUUCAAAUGGGUUCUUUGUUGGCAUAACUCUGGAGUAGUUGGUCACAUUUGGAAUAACUGAGGAAGAGGUUGUGCUUGGUACUAAAGGGAGUUAGUAUGACGAUAGUUAUUGGUUUUGUUCGAUUUGGGUAUGGCACUAUUUGCGACAUGGUACGAGAGUUGCUACACGCAACAUUGGUUGAUAGAGGAGACGUGCAAGCUUGUACUUGGAGGAUCGAAUUUUCGACGUGUGAAAUUGUGCACCCUCAGGAAAUUACUGCUUGUUUACUGAGACAACAAAUGUGUGGUCGAUAUCGCGGGCGGCCGACUGUGGUAUCGAUAAUUUAUUUGUUGGGUUCGUUAAGCAAGUGGGGCAGGAAUAUCCUUUUACGGCAGCCGUUAAAGAUUCACUAUUGUUAGAACUGGACCCAAAGACACAUCUAUUUUCGGAGUACGCGACGUUUCGAAUUCUUGGGCAAGACCCACUCUCAUUCUUCAGUUUUGGUUUUCAGUAUAAGUAUUUUAACCUCAUUUACUCUAGUUAAUUGUUUUGCCAUUACAAAUGUUUUUGGAAAAGUAUUUCCGUUUUCAGUUUUUAAGUGUAGCUCGAAUUUUCAACCUAUAUGUUGGUACAUAUCCAUUUUGACGUUAUCGUAUGUUAUGUUCUUACUUUUGACCUUAAUCUAUUUUAUGUUUUCGACUUUAUAUCUUUAUAAAGUAUGUUUUCUACUUUUACACUGAUGGGGAAGAAAGUAAGCUUGGAGGCAUGAUAGAGGAUUUUGCAACCCGCUCGCGACGGUGUGGUAUAUUCUCUUUGAUGCACCCACUCUGACUUGAUUUCUCUUUAUACAUAUAUUCUUCUUACUAUUUUCGUGUAUUUCAGUUUAGUAGGUGAUUUUAAAUUUCGGGGACGAAAUUCUUUUUAAGGGGGGUAGAUUGUUACACCCGCCCCUAAUUUAAAUCGUAUUUUCACUAAGUUUGAGUUUAUCUUGCUUUUAAAAUUGUUUUUGGGUCUUAAAUGGUGUGCCCAAGGGGCCCCACCCCCUGUUUUGUCCCCCGUUCCCUUUCCCUUUCUUUUAUUUAUUUUCUUCUUUCUUCUUCUUCUUCUUCUUCUUUUCUGUUUCUUUUUCUUUCUUUUCCGUCUGUCCCUCUCGGCUCUCUCUGCGCCCUCUCUUCUUUGCACCGCAACAAGCACACGCACGCACCCAUUGCACCUGCGCGAGGAAGACCAUCAUCAUCUCGUCCUGCUCUCUCUCCCUCUCGUGUUUGCGAACCCAGAAAAUCGGAAAGGAUCUCCCGCGAGAUUUUUAUAUUUUCCGGUUAGGUAAGCCUUAAAUCCCUCUCUUUCGUCCUAGAAUCUUUGAGAAUGGGUUCUAAUUGGUUUUAUUUCGUGAUUUUUGGAGGUUUUAGGAUGAAAACAAACUCGGGUGCAUGAACACCCAUUUCCGGCGAGGAACCCGCCACUUUCGAGUUAAUCUCCGGCCAAACCACGGCGAGUUGGCCGGCGUGCAAGGUAUCAAUCUCUUCGUCUCGUCGAUUACUACAACUUUCCUUUUUGUUUCACCCAAUUUCGUUGAGUAUUGAAGAAGUUAUACUCAUUUGAAUCUUACCCAGUUUCCGGCGAGUCCGACGGCUUUCGAGGCUUUUUCCGGUCAAACCACGGCGAAUUAGACGUCGUGUGAGGUACCAUUCUCUUCGUCUCUUCGAGGGCUACAACUUUCGUUUUUGUCUCGCUUGAUUUCGUUGAGUUUUGACAAAGUUAUAGCCAUUUAAAAUUGGGUGGUUUUCCGGCCGAAAUUCCGGCCUUCUUCUUCCUCGGGUCCGGCAACCCAUCAAACUUGGGCCCUUUGGGCCGUUUCUGUUAAGGGCUUUAAGCCCAAACCCUAAACCUUUGGGCUUUAGGACCAAACCCAAGAACCCAAACCCUAUGACCCAAACCCGGAUCCAAGCCCAGACCUGUUUGACCUGGUUCGACCCGGAUCCUGACCCGUUGACUUUGACCGGUCAACGUUGACUUUUCUAGUUGACUUUUCGGGUUUUCGUCCAAGACCUUCCUAGGCUAAUUUCGACGUCCUGGAUCCGUUUUUGAAGUUCGUUUUCCCAAAUUCAAUCGUUUGAGUAGAGUUUGACUAAAUGGAUCAUUUAUGUGCUUAGGUGAAUUUAAUGACGGCGGUUCCGUUAUUCCUAUUUGGUAUGGCGUUGCACCAACGGUGUACGGUGAGUGGACCCCUUCUAAAAUGCAUGUUUUAUAGUAGAAAUGCAUACAUAAAAAGUAUGAUUUGAUGAUUACCUUUUAUGAAACGUUUUGUGAGAUAACAUGCUUAUUGAGGCUACUUUAAAUUAUUACUAUUUUUCCUAUAACCCGUGUUCUUAUAGAAUAUCUGAUGGAUGACGAUAUGAUAUUAGAACAUGUUUAGAAUGUCACAGCCCGUCCCGGGAUUUCUAUAUCGGGGGCGUGAAUUGACGUAACUACCCUUGACGGACAUUCGGGUACGUGUGUGUGCGACAUUAUUGAAUUAAUUUUGUAAGUUUUGGGAUUUUAAUUUUGGAAUUUGGAAAUUUUUGUGGUUAGGGAAUUGGAUGGAUGGUGAGGAUUGUGUUGGACCACACAAUCACACACACACGCACUCCCUGUCUUCUCUCCCUCCCGUAGCUCUCUCUGUCCCUCUCCCUCACGAUCUCUCUCUUUCCCCUCACCCUAUACGUACGGCCUUCACCCAAAACCCUUCAAAACUCGACGGAUCGAGGCAAAUAAGGUAUGCAUCUUCAUCCUUUCGUCGUCCUGAGUUCAUUGGUGCUAGUUUUAGGAAGUGAAACCUUCGAUUUCACAUAGAUCCCGAACCUCCAUUUUUGAGGUACUGUUCAUGCGAACGUAAAAUGUUGUGUUUCAGGAGAUUUCAAGCUUGUGGUGAGCUUUAGGAGGUUCCUAAGGAAGCUCGGGGACGUUCGUUGGAGAGUUUUGGACGUCGGGAUCGUAGGUUUCAAGUUUGGCCGAAUCUUUGGUUUUUCCAAGGUGAGAUUUCGUAGUUUUUAGGCCCUAAAACAAGUCCAACGUGAUUGUACACUCUUAGGGCUUCAAUUUGGUAUAAAAUACGAAGAAAAUGGGUGAAAAACGAAGGAGAAUAGUGAGUUUGAAAAUCGGCCGGAGUUCGGCCGGAGUCCGGCCACCAGAGAACCAGUCCGGCGAGACCUGCGAAGAAGACGACACGUGCGCUGCACGUGCUGCGCGUGGCCAGCGCGUGGACCCGUGCCACGUGUGGCGCGUGGGGGCGCGUGGGGCUUCCAAAAAUUUUUCUAAAAAUUUCUCGACGCUCGUGACGUCGAGUAGGUCGAUGUGGUAUAUUAUUAUACCAAAAUUGAGCAUCGUAUGAGAAGUUAUUUCAAAUUAUUGGUGAUGUGCUUAAAAUUAAUGUUUUUAUAGUUGUUUCGCAUAUAGGUGAGACGUAUCCCGAGGACGACCGCAUCCAGGGACGCCACGGGGGUUACGACGACCCGUCGACUUAUCAGUGAGUGGGCAGUUUUGUUUUCGUAUUACCUAUAUACUACUGUUUUUCCCAGAAAAAUGUUUAUAUGAAAAUAUGUUUUGAAUAUGCCAUGCAUAGAAUUAUUUGAAAAUCAUGAAUUGGUUUAUGAACUAUAUGAUUGAAAUAUGAUGCAUACAUGUUGCAUGGUGCUGUGGAGGCACAGGUAAGUCAGGUGAGUUCAUUUAUUCAUUGAAUUGUUGUUGUUGAGAUGAGUUGAGCUCAUAAUCUGCACCCUAGGUGUUAGUGCUUAUAUUAUUCACCACACCGCACGCUCGUCUUGGAUCCAAGUAGGUGGAUGUCGUACAGACCAUGUGAGGGUUCCGACAUGCUAGUCGUACAGAUCACUAGGCGUGAUUCCGACUAGUGGGUGACCUUAGUUAUGCGCGCUGAUGAUAUGAUGAGAGAAGCACUAGAGCGUAUUUUUACACCUUUCAUCGUAUAGACUACCUUACGUAGUUCCGAGUGAUGUGCAGAGUAGGGCCGUAUAGGUCACUGUGGUGACUCCGGCUUAGUGGGAUUUUUGAGCUAUUGAAUUAAUCGUAUAGGACCAACUGCAGGGUCUCCGAUUGAUUCCUUAUUUCACCUGAUUUAUAUUUUUUAUUUAUGUCAUGGCAUGUUUUCUUGAAAAUGUUAAAGAUUUGAGAUUUAAAUGUUGAGAUUUUAUAUGGUUAUAUAUAUUUCUGGGAAAGUAUACAGGUUUUUACGGCGAGGGGAUAUAACUGUUUUAAUGAAAUGUUUUGGAAAACUAAUUUGUUUUACUGACCCACUCAUUUUGUUUUGCGCCCCUCCAGGUUCUAGUUUAGCGGUGGUUGGCUCACGAGGUCCUUUCCGGCUUUCUGACAGAUUUGGGACAUGUAGGACUCACCUGAGGGUGAUGUAUUCUUAUUUUAGUCCUACUUGACUGCAGUUAACCUAUGCUCUGAACUUAUGUGUUUACUUGUAAACUCGUCCGGUUAUGUCCGUAUGUGGUUAUGUUGAGUUUGGGUUGAAUUUCUGUUGUUAUUACGCUUCCGUGUCGUGCUUAUGGUUACGUCACGCCCACGUGACGGCCAGCACACCUGGAUCCUCCGGAUCAGGGUGUGUCAGUUUGGUAUCAGAGCUUAGGUUGCAGUCCUGUAAAAUUGUUAAUGUCUUAACGAUCUUUUUGAUGUUUUCUGUCAGAAUCAUGCCGCCUCGUAGAGAGCGUAGGGAGUCCCGCCGUACUCCUGAACCUAAUUUCCCAGAUAUUACUCAGUUAGGGGAAGCGAUGGCCCAGGCUUUACAGAAUGUGAUUCGUCCUCCCCCUCCUCCGAGGACACCUCUGGAGACCAUGUACAACUUGAAGUUAGAUCGGUUUAUGGGUAAUGAAAGUCAUGAGGGGGCAGAGAAAUGGCUUGAUCAUAUUGAGAAAACCUUUCAGGUGAUGCAGAGUCAGGGGAAUCUCCCUGCUAAUAGGUGGGUGGAGACCACCACUUGGUUUCUGGGUUGUGAACCAGCAGCAUGGUGGAUAAAUCAGGCUAGGUACAUGUCACCUGAGACGGCAGCCGACUGGAAAGUAUUCAAGGAGCAUUUUAUGAAGAGAUUUCGUUCCUCCUGAGUAUAUUGACCGUAAGAAGCAGGAAUUCACCAGGUUGAAACAGAGAAAUAUGUCGGCACAUGAAUAUUAUAGAAAGUUUACUGAUUUGUCUCGUUAUGACACUGAUAUAGCUGGUAAUCAGGGAGAGAUGCUUCGACGUUUCAAGUUGGGAUCUAAGAAGAAGUGGCGUACCUUUGCCAAUGCACUUCCCUGCGCUGAUUAUCAUGAGUAUUUCGAGAUUUUGGUUAGGAUGGAGGACUCUGAUAAUCUUCCUGACAGUGAGGAUGACGAGGACAAGAAUGAGGGUCAGAAGAAGAAUGAUAAGGGUAAGGGUAUUUCUAUUCCUGGACCUCGACAGACACAGAGUUUUUAAGAAGAGUGGAGCGAGUUCGAGUUCUUCUAGUGGGGGAUAUAGUUUUACUGGCCCGAGGAGAGGUGGUGGAAGAUUUUCUGGUGGACCCAGAUUUCAGGGUCAGAGGGAUGCUGGUGGAUCUGGCGCUCCAUGGUGCCGCCGUUGUAACUCCCGUCACCAUGGUGAGUGUAGGAGAGGUUCUGGUGCCUUGUUUUUACGUGUGGGACAGAUGGGACAUCGGGCUUCUCAGUGCCCCCAGGGUCAGCAGAGACCGCAGCAGACUAAUAUGCCACCUCCAGCACCAGUUCAGCAGAGUUUUGGGACCGGGUGGUUAUGGCCAGCCGAGUCGUGGUGGUGCCUACCACUAUCAGGGGGAUGCUGCUCCGUAUGCUUCCGGACCUUAUCAGUAUUCUCAGGAGCCUUAUCCUCAGGCAGGGUAUUCUCAGGAUUUUGGAGGUUAUUCUUCUUAUUCCUCUAUGCCAGCUGGUGGAUCGCAGUGGCAUCAGGGAGGCCAGCCCCGUCAGGGGGAAGUUGCUACUGGUGGUGCAGGAUCAUCCAGGCAGCCUAGUCAGCCAGGCCAGGGACGAGGUAAUCAGGGCAAUAGAGGCCGAGGUGGACGUCAGCAAGCUCAGGGGCGAGUUAAUCAUAUUGUCCCUGCAGGAGGCUCAGAACCAUCCAGACUUGAUAAUGGGUACGUUAAAUGUUCUUGGUCAUUUUGCUAAGGUUUUGAUUGAUUGUGGCGCUACGCACUCUGUGAUUUCUCAUACGUUUGCUCAAAUAACCCAACCUCACCCUUCACCUCUAGGAUUUGAUUUAGAGUUUGCCAUGCCUAGAGGAGAUAAAUGUAUUGUGGAUAGUGUGUAUCUGGGGUGUCCAGUGAUGGUUGAGGGCGUGAUUAUGUCCGCUGAUCUUAUUCCGUUAGAUAUUGUGGAUUUUGAUGUGAUUUUAGGGGCCGAUUGGUUACACCAUAAUCGUGCCCAUAUUGAUUGUUAUGGUAAAUCAGUUACUUUUUAUCGUCCUGGAUUACCCGAGGUUAUUUUUGUGGGCGAGAGAAGUGGGGUGAGACAUGGAGUUAUUUCUGCCAUAAGGGCGAGGAAAUUAUUAUCGAAGGGUUGUCAGGGAUAUUUGGCACAUGUGGUAUUAAAUGAUGUUGCUCCUACUAGUAUAGAAGAAGUUGGUGUGGUCAGACAUUAUCCGGAUGUUUUCCCUGAUGAUUUGCCGGGAUUGCCGCCAGACAGAGAGGUGGAAUUCUCUAUUGAUUUGCUUCCAGGUACGGACCCUAUAUCUCUGACUCCUUAUAGAAUGGCUCCUGCUGAGUUAAGGGAAUUAAAAAUCCAGUUGCAAGAAUUACUUGAUAAAGGUUUUAUUCAACCUAGUUCUUCACCUUGGGGUGCCCCAGUAUUAUUUGUGAAGAAGAAGGAUGGAACUCUUUCGAUUGUGUAUUGAUUAUAGACAAUUGAACCGGGUAACGAUUAAAAACCGUUAUCCAUUGCCCCGCAUUGAUGAUUUGUUUGAUCAGCUGAAAGGUGCGUGUGUAUUUUCUAAGAUUGAUUUGAGAUCCGGGUAUUAUCAAUUGAAGAUUAAAGAAGACGAUGUACCUAAGACGGCUUUCCGAACUCGGUACGGACAUUAUGAAUUUUCGGUUAUGCCGUUUGGGUUGACUAAUGCACCUGCAGCUUUUAUGAGAUUAAUGAAUGAGGUAUUCCAGAAAUAUCUUGAUAAAUUUGUUAUUGUUUUUAUUGAUGAUAUUCUGGUAUACUCUAAGUCCCAAGCAGAUCAUAUCCGACACCUUAAUUUGGUGUUAAGGAAAUUAAGGGAGCAUCAGUUGUAUGCCAAGUUCAGUAAAUGUCAGUUUUGGUUGACUGAAGUGGCAUUUUUGGGGCAUGUUGUAUCAGCUCAAGGUAUUCAAGUUGAUCCUCAAAAGAUUGCAGCAGUGGAGAAUUGGGAGCAACCUCGAACCGUCACGGAGGUACGAAGUUUUCUUGGCUUAGCAGGUUAUUAUCGACGGUUCGUUCAGGAUUUCUCUAUGAUUGCUUUACCGUUGACAAAGUUGACCAGGAAGGAUGUUAAAUUUGAGUGGGAUGAGAAUUGUGAGCGGAGUUUUCAACAAUUGAAGUAUUGCCUCACUCAUGCACCGGUGUUGGUACUUCCCGACGAUAGCGGUAAUUUUGAGAUAUAUAGUGAUGCUUCAUUAAAUGGUUUGGGAUGUGUUUUGAUGCAGCAUAAUAAGGUGAUUGCCUAUGCUUCUAGGCAGUUGAAAAAAUCAUGAAAGGAACUAUCCUACUCACGAUCUUGAAUUGGCAGCAAUUGUUUUUGCUUUGAAAAUUUGGAGGACAUUACUUUGUAUGGUGAGAAGUGUAAGAUCUUCACUGAUCACAAGAGUCUUCAGUAUUUGUUUACUCAGCAUGAUCUUAAUCUUCGUCAGCGAAGGUGGAUGGAAUUGUUAAGUGAUUAUGAUUGUUCUAUUGAAUACCAUCCAGGUCGUGCUAAUGUAGUAGCGGAUGCACUGAGUAGGAAACCUCAAGGUAGACUUAAUGCCCUUAUAUGCUAGUCGUGUUCCUCUUCUUGCUGAAUCUGAGGACAACUGGGGUAAGGUUGGAAAUUGAAAGACCGAGGAUGGAGCUUUUCUUGCUAGUUUUCAAGUCAGGCCAGUUUUGGUGGAGCGUAUACUUGCAGCUCAGAUGGUGAAUGAGGAAAGUUCAAGGAGUUGGUUCAGUUAAGAAGUGAAGGGAAAAAGAAAGACCUCAGAAUUCGGGAAUCAGACGGUAUGCUCAUGCAAGAAGACAGAAUGUAUGUUCCGAAUAAUGAGGAAUUGAAGAAGGAAAUUCUGGACGAAGCACAUUGUUCAGCUUAUGCGAUGCAUCCGGGAGGAACAAAAAUGUAUAUCAUACCAUUCGACCAUUUUAUUAUUGGCCGGGUAUGAAAAGAGAAAUUGCAGAAUAUGUGAGCAGGUGUAUUAUUUGCCAGCAAGUGAAAGCAGAAAGAAAGAAGCCAUUUGGGCGAAUGCAACCCCUUCCUGUUCCCCAGUGGAAAUGGGAAAAUAUAACCAAUGGAUUUCGUGUAUAAACUUCCUCGUACGCGAAAUGGAUUUGAUGGUAUUUGGGUGAUUGUGGAUCGACUCACCAAGUCGGCGCAUUUCAUUCCUGUGAGGGAGAAAUACCCUCUGAAUAAAUUGGCUAAGUUGUUUAUUUCGAAGAUUGUCAAGUAUCAUGGAGUCCCAGUAAAUAUUAUCUCCGAUCGAGACCCGAGGUUUACUUCUAAAUUUUGGGUGGCUUUUCAGGAAGCUCUGGGUACUCAAUUACUGUAUAGCACAGCUUAUCAUCCUCAAACUGAUGGGCAAUCAGAGAGGACCAUUCAGACGUUGGAAGGAUAUGUUGAGAUCUUCAGUACUGCAAUUUGGUGAUUCUUGGCAUGAUCGUCUGGACUUAAUGGAGUUUGCUUAUAAUAACAGUUUUUCACUCGAGCAUUGGUAUGUCCCCAUUCGAGGCACUUUAUGGUAGGGCGUGUCGAACGCCAUUAUGUUGGUCUGAGGUUGGUGAACGGGUAUUAGAAGGCCCUGAGAUCGUGGAUGAGACGACUCAAAAUGUUCAGAUAAUUAAGUCAAACCUGAAAGCAGCCCAGGAUCGACAGAAGAGUUUAGCGGAUCGGCAUACUACUGAUCGAGUGUAUGAUGUGGGUGAUUGGGUAUUUUUGAAAUUGUCGCCUUGGAGAGGUGUAGUACGAUUUGGGAAAAGAGGAAAGUUAAGCCCGAGAUAUAUUGGACCUUAUGUGAUCACUGAAAGAGUUGGUGAAGUUGCCUAUCGGUUGGAACUGCCUCCGGAGUUAUCUAAGGUCCAUAAUGUGUUCCACGUCUCUAUGCUUCGGCAUUAUAUUUCUGAUCCUUCUCAUGUGAUCCCUCCUCAACCGUUAGAGAUUAAUCCGGAAUUUGACGUAUGAUGAGGAACCGGUCACUAUCUUGGAUUGGAAAGAUAAGGUUCUAAGGAACAAGACGGUGAGUUUGGUAAAGGUGUUGUGGAUGAACCAUUCUGCAGAGGAAGCCACCUGGGAGACGGAAGAUCGGAUGAGAGAGAUGUACCCAAGGUUAUUUUAUGGGUACUAAGUGGUUAAUUUGGAUUGUGGGAAUUUCGGGGACGAAAUUCUAUAAGGAGGGGAGAUUGUCACAGCCCGUCCCCGGGAUUUCUAUAUCGGGAAUGUGAAUUGACAGUAACUACCCUUGAUUGGACAUUCGGGUACGUGUGUGUGCGACAUUAAAUUGAAAUUUUGUAAGUUUUGGGAUUUUAAUUUUGGAAUUUGGAAAUUUUUUGUGGUUAGGGAAUUGGAUGGAUGGUGAGGAUUGUGUUGGACCACACAAUCACACACACACGCACUCCCUGUCUUCUCUCCCUCCCGUAGCUCUCUCUGUCCCUCUCCCUCACGAUCUCUCUCUUUCACCCUCACCCUAUACGUACGGCCUUCACCCAAAACCCUUCAAAACUCGACGGAUCGAGGGGCAAAUAAGGUAUGCAUCUUCAUCCUUUCGUCGUCCUGAGUUCAUUGGUGCUAGUUUUAGGAAGUGAAACCUUCGAUUUCACAUAGAUCCCGAACCUCCAUUUUUGAGGUACUGUUCAUGCGAACGUAAAAUGUUGUGUUUCAGGAGAUUUCAAGCUUGUGGUGAGCUUUAGGAGGUUCUAAGGAAGCUCGGGGACGUUCGUUGGAGAGUUUUGGACGUCGGGAUCGUAGGUUUCAAGUUUGGCCGAAUCUUUGGUUUUUCCAAGGUGAGAUUUCGUAGUUUUUAGGCCCUAAAACAAGUCCAACGUGAUUGUACACUCUUAGGGCUUCAAUUUGGUAUAAAAUACGAAGAAAAUGGGUGAAAAAACGAAGGAGAAUAGUGAGUUUGAAAAUCGGCCGGAGUUCGGCCGGAGUCCGGCCACCGGAGAACCAGUCCGGCGAGGACCUGCGAAGAAGACGACACGUGCGCUGCACGUGCUGCGCGUGGCCAGCGCGUGGACCCGUGCCACGUGUGGCGCGUGGGGGCGCGUGGGGCUUCCAAAAAAUUUUUCUAAAAAUUUCUCGACGCUCGUGACGUCGAGUAGGUCGAUGUGGUAUAUUAUUAUACCAAAAAUUGAGCAUCGUAUGAGAAGUUAUUUCAAAUUAUUGGUGAUGUGCUUUAAAAUUAAUGUUUUUAUAGUUGUUUCGCAUAUAGGUGAGACGUAUCCCGAGGACGACCGCAUCCAGGGACGCCACGGGGGUUACGACCCGUCGACUUAUCAGUGAAUGGGCAGUUUUGUUUUCGUAUUACCUAUAUACUACUGUUUUUCCCAGAAAAAUGCAUUUAUAUGAAAAUAUGUUUUUGAAUAUGCCAUGCAUAGAAUUAUUUGAAAAUCAUGAAUUGGUUUCACAUGAACUAUAUGAUUGAAAUAUGAUGCAUACAUGUUGCAUGGUGCUGUGGAGGCACAGGUAAGUCAGGUGAGUUCAUUUAUUCAUUGAAUUGUUGUUGUUGAGAUGAGUUGAGCUCAUAAUCUGCACCCUAGGUGUUAGUGCUUAUAUUAUUCACCACACCGCACGCUCGUCUUGGAUCCAAGUAGGUGGAUGUCGUACAGACCAUGUGAGGGUUCCGACAUGCUAGUCGUACAGAUCACUAGGCGUGAUUCCGACUAGUGGGUGACCUUAGUUAUGCGCGCUGAUGAUAUGAUGAGAGAAGCACUAGAGCGUAUUUUUACACCUUUCAUCGUAUAGACUACCUUACGUAGUUCCGAGUGAUGUGCAGAGUAGGGCCGUAUAGGUCACUGUGGUGACUCCGGCUUAGUGGGAUUUGAGCUAUUGAAUUAAUCGUAUAGGACCAACUGCAGGGUCUCCGAUUGAUUCCUUAUUCACCUGAUUUAUAUUUUUUAUUUAUGUCAUGGCAUGUUUUCUUGAAAAUGUUAAAGAUUUGAGAUUUAAAUGUUGAGAUUUUAUAUGGUUAUAUAUAUUUCUGGGAAAGUAUACAGGUUUUUACGGCGAGGGGAUAUAACUGUUUUAAUGAAAUGUUUUGGAAAACUAAUUUGUUUUACUGACCCACUCAUUUUGUUUUGCGCCCCUCCAGGUUCUAGUUUAGCGGUGGUUGGCUCACGAGGUCCUUUCCGGCUUUCUGACAGAUUUGGGACAUGUAGGACUCACCUGAGGGUGAUGUAUUCUUAUUUUAGUCCUACUUGACUGCAGUUAACCUAUGCUCUGAACUUAUGUGUUUACUUGUAACUCGUCCGGUUAUGUCCGUAUGUGGUUAUGUUGAGUUUGGGUUGAAUUUCUGUUGUUAUUACGCUUCCGUGUCGUGCUUAUGGUUACGUCACGCCCACGUGACGGCCAGCACACCUGGAUCCUCCGGAUCAGGGUGUGUCAUAGAACACCUCUUUAUAGUAUAGAUGAUGGAUGACUUUAUACUAUGAAGUUGUUUUUCAAUAUAUAUGUUCAAUGGUUUUGUACUUACCUAGUGGUCCUUUCCGCUACGGGACGUAGGGAUAGAUUCCGGUCAUUCCCGGGCGACGGUUUGGUGUUGGCAUAGGGCCUGGAGUGUGUUUCCUCUGGCUAUUUAGCACAGGGACGGGGAGCCGGCAUGGGGCCUGAAGUGUAUUUUCCUCUGACUGUCUGCUCAGAGACGGGGAGCCGGCAUGGGGCCUGGGGGUUAUCGGACAAUUCACUAGUGAUUAUUAUAUAUAUAAAAGUUAUGAUUUGAGACACUGCACAUCAUGCUAGGUUUCGGAAAACCUAUGUUUAUCAUUAUAUAUGUGUUUUCAUAAAACUUGGGGGUUAGUACGUUGAUAACUGUUUUGUUAUAUUUAUAUCAAAUUGGUCCACUCAUGUUUGUUUUGCGCCCCCUUCAGGAUUUAGGAUCGAGGCGUACAAUCCCGGCAAUCCAGGCACUUCCGCAUCGGUAUCUUCAAGUCCUCUCGGUGUAGAACCCACUUCUGUGUUCAUUCAAUUUUUAUAUUAAUCCUUUUAAUGUUCUAGAUUAGAUGUGUGCUCUGAACACGUUCCUUAAAUGCAUAUUCUUUAUUCUCUUAUAUUUAUAAGUUUUAUCUAUCCUUUAUUUUCAGCAAUUGCACUCAAUAAAUGGCUUUCGUCGCCCUCGGGUGUCGGCCAGCACGUGACCAUCCUGAUAUCCUGAGGAUAUCGGGAUCGGGGCGUGUCAAUUUGUGAAGAAGAAUUUUUAUGCACUGCAACUGUUUGAUCGUCUGUCUAAGAGAGGGAGUGCAAAUGUACAUGUGCUUUAUGUGGCCUCUUUAGAUAUGCAUGAUUUAGAAGCUAGCCCUAAACUGGAUGGUAGUAGCAGCAAGCCAAGGGUUAAAGAAGUGUCUUCUGAAGAAAAAGAUAAUGUGUCUCACAUUGAGAUUAAGAUUACUGAAUACCAUAGCUCCGAUGAAAAGUGUGUUCUGAGGUAUCUUAAUCUUUCAGACAACGCCAUGGGCAACUAUGGUGUCAAUGCAUUUGAGUCACUUCUUAGUUCACAAAACAAUUUGAGAGAACUUUAUUUGAUGAAUAUGGCAAGGCUCAAUAUGUGUCAUAACAUGAGGGAGUGGCACUGCGAUGCUAUUAGGAAGAUCAAAUGGCUGAAUGAGAAUGAGAUUUCUGUUAUGAUCAAUACCGAAGGACAAGCAAACUAUGAAGGUUUUUUUUAUUGUAUCAAAUAUGGUGAGGAGCUCACUUUUAAGCUGUUGCUCUAUUUCCAAGCUGUCAAGGCAAAAAGUCUUGGGUUUACUAAACUUGGGUCACCAAAAGAGGCUAAGAAGGUUGUUGGGAACAUGAAUGAUGUUACUGCUAGUGCCAAACAGCUAAAGGAGAUGGAACAAGGCUUGACCAGUUUGAUAGUUUUGGGGAAUGGGCGAUUGUCUGAUCUUAUUGCACAGCUGCAGGAUAUAUUAGAGGGUGUAAAUGAAGCUGAUAUCUUGCCGGAGAAGUUUGAUAAUGCAGUUAUUAAAGCUCAGAUUCCACAAUUGGCUCGAGAAAUCAGGGAGUUAACCUCAUCUCGACCUGUAACCAUCUACAAUGAGAAUUCUUCCUCUAGUGGGAAUUAUGCUUCAUAUUUAGUUCCACUUGCUGCACUUGCUGCAAUGGGCUAUUGUUACAUGUGGUGGAGAGAUUGGUCAUUUUCAGAUGUGAUGUAUGUGACAAGGCAUAAUAUGGCAAAUGUUGUUGAAGCUCUAAUUAGAGAGGUAGCUAGCAAGAGCAAUGACUUUGCUGGGAACGGAACAACAAAUACAUUGAAGAUGAGUGAAUGCGCUAUGGGCACCUAUUUAGAUUUAGUAUGCUCUCUUAGUCACCUGGAAAGCAAUUUUGGUGGUGCCUUAGUUAUUGAUUUACAUGUUGAGUUCUCUUUGUUUUUCACUUGUAACCCUGACUGUCGGCUUUUAUGGGAUCCAGGAGAUGCAAUGGCUAAAACUGUUAAGAUGAUACUCUAUUUUAAAAAUGUCAAGGCAGAGUGGCUUAACAGGGUUACAAAAAUAACCAAGUUUGGUAGUUUUAUGGUACAAUUGGAUAGAAGUGUUGAAGCUUUGAAUAAGGGCAAAAAGCAAAAAACUAGAGAUGGUGGAUAUGGUGAUGAGAUAAAGAGAUUGCAUGAUUUAAGCGUGAACAAGGUUGUGGAUAUGGCGACUAGGUUCGAAAGUGCAUUGGUAGGACAUGUUAACAAUAUAAUUUGUAGUACUACUGUAAGAUUGGAGAGACUUCACUCCGAUGAUUGGUGGUGUUCUGCUAUAUCUCAACUGCUGAUGAUUGGUAAAUCCAUCGUAUCUAGUUCAAACAAAACUCAGGAAGCAAAUGUGGAUGCUGUUUUGGGAACCGGUGAUCCGAGUCUACUAGUUGAGAACACUUCAGUUGAGCAGCUUGGUUUCGUCAGAAAGGUGACAAUCUUUAAGGACUCCACUUCCAUUAUUGGUGAUGCAGCAUCAAAAGAUGGGUUGCAAGUCCAUGGUGUGUCUCCAUUUGACAUUAUGGGCAGAAAUCUUUUCUGGGAAAAGCAACUGCAAAGGCUGCAAAUGGGAGCUGUCACAAGAAAGUUCUUGGUGGUUAAUUUCAGUUCUGGUUUUGAUGAAUCUUCAUAUCUCUCUCGGGUUGAAAAUUUUGAGGAGAUGUCACAAGAAAAUUAUGGAGAGGCUACAGGAAACAAGAACUCACUCACUCAGUUCAAGCGAGCUGCCAUACCUGGAAGGAUUAUAAUGAUUUCAAAGUCAAGUUCUACAAUUCCAUUUUUAAGCCUUGAGGACAAGGCUAAUUUUCAAGGGGGAAGUAUUGUUAUGACCCAAAUUAUUACUGAGGUUUUAUGCUUUAUUACUGUGAGGAAUUGUUAAUAUGCCAGCUGGCAUUUAAAAGUGUAGAGGUUUUAUAAAAGGAGCCCCAGCUCCCCCAAAUGUAUCAGAUCAGAAUUUUACAAAAGAAAUCAAUAUUGGAGCUCUGCUCCUUCUUCUCUCAUUCCCUCUUCUUCCAUAGCUUUCUUGUGCCACUUGCAGGUUGAUUAAGGGAAUUGAGAAUUAGAUCUUAUCAUAACGUCACUACCACAACUCCCAAUAUCAUCACGCUGAAUGUCCACACUCGGUUUCUGCUCAAUUAAAGCGUCAAUUUCCUGCAAAAUACUCUCAUCGAAAUCAUCAUCGUUAAGAAUUCCAGAUGCAGAGAAAGAAUCAAAUGAAGUCAGAAACUGCGGUUGUCUGAUUGGAGUUGUGAAAGAAUCCGAUUUUGACACGCUUGAUUCGGUCCGGCUAACGCUUAAGCUCCCGGAACACGAAGCACUGCCAUAUUCACCACGCGCUGAAUUGUACCGGCUUGCGGAAAUCGGAAGCGGUGUUCUUUGAACUCUAUUGAGCUGAGUUGGCGUUUGGAUUCCAUUUCCGCCAAAAAACACAAUUGAAUUGAUUUAAAUUGAAGCAAGAAAACAGCCAAGUAGCCAAAAAAUAGUAAGAAGAUGAAACCUUUGAUUCCUGAACGACUUACUUGGUAUGAGGGAGGUGAUGAUCAGGUGAAACGGCGUCGUUGCAGGGGCGUUUGCGAUCAAUGAGGGCCUUGGCGGCUCUGAAAUUCCGAGAGAUGCGGUUUCUUUGUUCCGCCGUGAGCCCUCCGCCGUACGCCUGAACGUUUUCCUUGGACAUUGCUUCCAAGAUUCCAACGGAGGAUUUGGCCUGACGGCCUGACCAGGCUGAUAACAGUGUAAAACCUUAGGAGCUAAGGAAAAACUAAGAGAGAGAUUGUAGAGAGGGAAAGUUUUUUCUUUUUGGAAACCAGUAGAGAGGGAAAGUUUGUUAAACCUGAAUAAUAUUCUUUUCAUUCAACUUGUCUACAAUAAUUACCACUCGUGGUAUUUAUACAUUUGUAACACACCUCACUAACUAACUAAGACCACCACCAAUCAUACAUAAACACUUGUCAUAAUCCUAUGCACUCAUAGUAUCAUCACUUUAACAUUCCCCUCAAGCUCAUGUGGCAGAUUGCCAAGCAUGAGAUUGGAACAAUUACGAGCGAACUGGGGUGAACACAAGCCUUUGGUGAACAUGUCGGCAUAUUGAUCUGCAGAGGUAACAAACUACAAAAUAAUUGUCCUUUGAUGAACUCUUUCACGAACAAAGUGGCAAUCAAUCUCUAUAUGUUUGGCUUUAUAGUGCAAUACAGGAUUAGUGGCAAGAGCCAUUGUUGAAAUGUUAUCACAAUGCAAAACUAGAACAGAAGGAGAACCAACAUGCAAAUCUCGAAGAAGCUGUUGUAUCCAGAUAACCUUAGCAGUGGUUGUAGCCAUUGCUCUAUAUUUAGCUUCAGUGGAAGACCUACUCACUGUAUGCUGCUUUUUAGAACUCCAAGAGAUAGGAGUAUCUCCCAAAAAAAUGACAAAACCCGUGGUUGAACGACAAUCAUUGGGAUCCCCUACCCAAUCAGCAUCUGUAUAAGCUUUCAACUGAGAUGAACCUGAUUUAAAACAUAAUCCCAAAGAUAUAGUGCCUCUGCGAUAUCGUAGAAUACGUUUCACAGCAGCAAAUGAGUGGCUAAGGGUGAAUGCAUAAACUGACGUACUUGAUUGACAGAAAAAUAAAUAUAUGGUCUUGUAAAUGUUACGUAUUGCAGUGCCCCAACAAUACUUUUGUAAGUGGUAGGAUCAAAAACAGGUUCACUACCAUGAUUCAGAAGCUUCUGAUUAGGAUGACAAGGUGUGGAAAAAAGGUUUACAGUCUAGCAUAUGCAUCUUUUAAAGGAGUUCUUUGACAUACUUGGUCUGAUGAACAAAGAGUCCCUGACCCUGAUACUCAAUCUGUAAACCAAGAAAAUAAUGCAACACACCUAGAUCUUUCAUGCCAAACUCACUAGUUAACUAACUAAUAACCUUCUGAACCUUCACAGCAUCAUUACCAGUGAGAAUGAUAUCAUCAACAUAUAAUAAGAGAACAAUAAUUGAUGAACCAUCACACUUGACAAAUAAAGAAGGAUCUGCAUAUGAUGACUUGAACCCAAGCUUAGGCAAAUAACCUGAAAACCUGUCAUGCUAGGCUCUGGGAGCUUGCUUGAGACCAUAUAAAAACCUCUCUAGUUUGCACACAUAAUCUGGAUAGGUAGAAUCCACAAACCUUUGGGACUGAGACAUAUAAACUUCUUCAUCAAGAAAGCCAUGCAAAAAAGCAUUAUUGACAUCUAACUGUUUGAGUUUCCAAUUAUGAGAUGCAGCCAAGGAUAAAACCAAUCGAACUAUGGUUGGUUUGACCACAGGGCUAAAGGUUUCAUAAUAGCUAAUACCAACUUCUUGAGAAUACCCAUUAGCUACAAUUCUAGCCUUGUACCUAGCCACUGAACCAUCUGGAUUUCUCUUAAUCUUGUAAAUCCAUUUACAACCAACAAGAUUUUUGUCAGGUGCUAAGGGCACAAGCUUCCAAGUAUGAAGCAUCCAUCUCUUCUUUCAUGGCAUUUUGCCAUUGAACACACUUGACUGCACUAGAAAAAGACCGAGGUCCAAUAAAUGGAAAUGUGGAAGAAACACUAGGUGGAUGAAUGAAUGUGUUUGAAUGCACAACAGACACUGGUGAGGAAGAAUGACCAGAAGUAACUUGAGGAUUGAAACCCAAAGCAUUAGAGUCUAUAGGAAACUUGGAUUCAUAAAAAAUAACAUGUCUAGAUACUAAUAGUUUAUGAUCUUUGAGAGAGAAGCAAAUAUACCCUUUGUAUUGUGUAGCAUACCCCAGAAAAAUACACUUAGUAGUUUUAGGUUCAAGUUUAUUGCUUCUAUAGGGUUUCAAUGAAGGAUAGCAUAAACACCCAAAAAAUCUCAAAUGAUCAAGCUUAGGUGGAGAUUUAUAUAGCAUUUCAAAAGGAGACUGCAUAUGUAGGGUAGGUGUGGGCAUUUUGUUUAUAAGAAAAGUAGCAGUGGCACAGGCAUGGAACUAGAAUUUUGAAGGUAAUGAAACUUGUUGUAAAAAGGUAAUAGUUGUUUCGACAAUAUGUUGAUUUUUUCUCUCAGCCAACCCAUUAUGUUAUGGGGUAUAAGGACAAGAUUUUUUAUGAACAAUGCCUUUGGUAAGAAGAAAUUGCUUAAACUGAGUACUAACAUAUUCCCUACCCCCAUCACUCUGCAAAAUUUUUACAUGAGCAUCAAAAUAAUUCGAGACAGAAGCAAGAAAGUUGACAAAAACAGUGAACACUGCAACUUUAUUAUUUAAUGGAAAAAUCUAGGUAUAUCUUGUACAUUCAUCAAUAAAGGAAACAUAAUACUUGUAACCUUCUAUAGACAAACUAGGUGAGGGACCCCAAACAUCUAUGUGAAUUACUUCAAAUGGAGUAAGUGACUUCGAAGCAAUUACAGGAAAAAGGAGCUUGGUAAACUUGCCUUGCAAACAAGCAUUACAAGUAUGAGAUUGAGAGUUACAAGGAAAAGAUAUACAAGACUUAUUAAGUGCUGCAGUGACAGUGGAAUGUGUAGGAUGGCCUAAUUGACAAUGCCACAAUGUAGAAGAAAUCUUUUGACCCACAAAUGCAACUGGAUUAAAAACAGGAGAAAUAGACCUCUGUGGUUUGAUUAUGGGAAGUGGAUAGACAACAUUAUUACUCAGCCCUUGGAAUAGCACUCUCCCGGUGACCUUGUCCUGUAGACAGAGAGAAACAUCAUCCAUGAUACAACGACACUGAUUAUCUUUGCACAACUGAUUCAUAGAUAAUAAGUGUUGUGACAGUUUUGGAACAUGUAACACAGAGUUUAACUUGAAAUUAUGUGACUAAGUGAGAAGAGAAGAGGAACCAAUAUGUUUGACAGCUAAACCUUCACCACUAGCACUGGUCACAAUAUCAUUUGAUGGAUAAAUUUAUUGUCAUGUGCAAGUUUGACAAAUCUGAGGUCAUAUGGUUAGUUGCUCCCAAGUCAAGAAACCAGAAAUCUUGUUGAAGAGUUGAGGAUGAUGCACCAGCUCGUGCUUGCAUAGCAAGAGGAGGAUUUUGUGAGGAUAUAGUUAAUAGAUACAUAUGUGGUAUGACAAGAUACUGAAACUGUGAGCUAUUAGACUGUGGAAUCAUGCCUUGUGAAGGACCACAUGGAUUCUAGCUAGGUGCUUCACCAUAUGACCCAGUAGGCAUUGGAGUUGGCAUAGAUGAGGAUAAACCCUAAGAGAAAUGCUCUGAUGUGCCUGUGAAAUUUUUAUUCUGAUCAAAGCAAGUAGCAGCAACAUGACAACCUCUGUGACAAAUUUGACAUCCAUGUUGAAAACAAUUCAAUGCAGAAUGACCUUUGCGAUCACAUAUUUGCAGAAUGGCCUUUGCAACCCUAGAAAGAAGGAGCGAAGAAGACCAAAUGUGUACGUUUCUCUUUGGUUUUUUUUCCCUCCUAAUCGCGCUGUUCGAAAUCACGGACCUCGGGCCUGGGCCUAGUGGGCCCAAUUAUGAGGCCCAUUAUCUCCGGUCUUCUCGUUCUACUUCUAGUUACCCAAAUUAAGAACGUACGCUUUUAGCGCGAGAGAGAAAUGGAGGCCCUGAUUGCCUCGUACGGAGACUCGUCGUCGGGCUCAGACUCCGAGUCGCCGGCUCCACCUCCACCACCACCUCCGGAGCUCAACAACCCUCAAGAACCGACCCCUGCGCUGCCUCCACCUCCUCUGUCACUUCUCGACAGCCCCAAUUCCUUCGGUAACCUCUGAUUCCCAUCAAUUUUCAUCUUUUAGCUUUCUGUUGUGAUGGCUUUUUCCGAGUUGCCCACCAAGUGUUUGAUGUUUUGCCUCCGAAGAAUUUCUGGACUUAUCGGCAAGCGCCCAGCCGAGCAGAGUUCGGAACUUUCCUCACGUCGAAGGGAACUACGCAGUACAUGUAUACAUCCCAGGUUAUCAAAAUUCUCGAAAUUUUCAGCUCCAUUAGCAAAUGCGAUCGCUUUGCACUUAGUUUUUGCUUGUUUAAUUGUGUGGUUCCAGUUUAUAUACCACCAGCACCAAGGAAAGAGAUGGCCUUGUUUUUGAACAAGCUAGCUUCUCUGCUGCCUGGUCUCCAUGCGGUUGACGUUGACUUCCCGCUUGACAUUCUGCGUAAGGACGAGCACAAGCUUGAACAAGUUGCUUUAGGCAGAGAGUUCCAUAUAAGUCUCGGAAGAACUGUUCCGAUGCGGGUGCACCAGAUUGAUUCCUUGGUGACAAUGCUGCGGCAGAAGCUUCAGAUUCAGAGGCGGUAUGGUUACAUUUACAUUCUCUUGUCUGCAUUGCGUGAAUUUAGUUCUGUUAUUUAACAUAAUUCUGUAAGCCUGUUUUCGUAUAAAUGCACGGUUGAAUCAGCUUUCAUUGUCUACAAGUCUGAAAUAUUUUAACUUCCAUUGAUUUCAGAUAACAAAGCAGAUUCAAGCUGUGAAUGAGGUGUAUAAGCUUCACAAUCUUCCUGAAUUUUACAAGGUUAGCUUUUUCGUGCUUUUCAAACUCGAAUCGGUUCCUGAAUGUAUGACAAUAUAUUGGAUCAAACGAUUUCUCAAAACACUAAUUCACUUGAUGGGGUCUUGGUGAUCACAGGAUCCACGCCCUCACAUCUCGGUAGCUUGAGCAUUGGGUGACAUCAGCAAUUCCCUGAACAAAGUGGUUGAAGAAGAAAGACGAAGAUCUACCAUCGGAGGAUCGUUACAGAAAUGUAUUUUUACCAGUAAAUUCAAUGGUAUCGAUAUCGAAUGUAGGAUUGGUAAUAAAACACACAAAAUAUGUAAAUUUUCUGAAGAAUAAUGUAGCCAUUUAACUGUAUUGUGAAAUUCCGAGAAUAUAUGGCUGAGCAUUGGAUGAGAAGACAUUUCUUCGUUGGUGUCGAACUUCUUGUCGAAGGUAUUGGCACCAGUGUAAACGUCAUCAUCCAUGUUGAUGGUAAUUACUUACCAGCUACUAAGGGUGUCGGAACAACCUUGCACGCACCCUCCUGUGCAUUACUUGGUAUUGUCUCGGAUUCUCCAAACUUGAAUGCUAAUGUAAACCCACUCUUGACCUUUCCGUCAUCUGCAAUUACCGGAAAGCCGGCUUGGAUGUUGCCGUUGACCUACCAAACUUAAAAUACCGACGAAAUGUUGGAGUACUUCAGUGUACUACUCGUUUUUGUAUGCGAGAGCUCCACCUCUAUCGUUGUAACAGCAUCUGAUGCGGACUAGUCCUUCAUUCCCGUUACUCUUUGCCAUCUCCACUUCAAACUUGGUGUGAUGGCUCCCGGCCUCCUCUCCGGUGAAAUUGAGUAACCCCGGAGCUGGCGUGCCAUCAAGAUUUCCGUUGUGUCUCUAUUUGCUGUUGUGGUUCGGUUCCACUAUAAACUUGGCAGAGUUAGCAUUUUCAUUCUGUUGUCUGUAUAUCUUGAUAUUACAAGUAUUUGUUGUGCAAAAUGCAUGCUAAGUUCAAGUUAUGUUUAUAUGUGUGUGUGUGUUGCCACUUUUCCAACGUUUUCUCCAAAAUUGUGACGAGCAACAAAGCAGUUUUGAUUCCGUGCACAACAACGAUACCUCGAAAGAAAUUGAUUCUUCCCCAGAAAGAUGUUUUAAAACAAAGUUGAACAAGGGAAGAAAACUUUUGAAUCGCAAUCAGAUGUCUGGUCAAAUUCUUUAACAGUUGAUGUAUACAGAAGUUCCUUGCUUAUGACACGACUUAUGAGAGGAUGUAUGUAUUGCAUUUGCAUCAAAAGAAAGAAAGAAGGUUGUAAGUGGUAAGGGAACGACUACCGAUGCCGCUCCACUUCUAAUCAAAGGGAUCGAUCCGAGGGUCGUGUUCACUUGCCAUCGCCAUUCCAGUGCAAAGGCAUGUCGGGCACAUUACCUGCCACAUUUACAGACGCAAUGUUAGAUAUAGCUGCCAUUUGGAAGUCAUCUCUCAAAAUUUUGCUACUAAAUUAAUCUUAAACUUCAUUUCCAGUGCAAUUUUUUUCUUCUGAAUUGUCUUUCACAUGCCCGACAAAUAGAAGUAUCACCAAACAUGUGAUAUAGAGCAUCUAAGCGGCAGGCACUAAAAGGAAUUUAGUAUGCAAUAAACAUUCAACGGACAUAAUUAUAUGUCUAACCUUUCCCGCUCCUGAGCAAUUUGAACAUCGUUCAGUUUUUGGCAGAGAUAGGGGUUGGUUUCCGCCAUCAGCUGUCGAUACUGGUUCAGUAAGAACAAGGGUUCCAGUGCUGGAGCAACGAGCACAAGCAAGAGAUCCUGCGUAAGUAUCAAAUACACAGGUAAGUUGACAUACGAAACCAAUCCGAACAUCUCCAUCGUAUAUAUUUAAAGCUACAGUACAUAAAACUAAAAGUCAGAAAUAUAGGACAUUAUCACACCAGUUCCAAGACAAUAUUUGCAUCGUUUAUGCUCCUGCUGUUUCACAUUGUUUAUUUCAACUACCAUCAAUGCUGAGAUCACUCCGACUGCUCCUCCAGAGAAUGACGCCACUAUGGGAUCAACUUGACUGCAGUUUGAAAGUAAAGGAGAUCAAUAAACGAAACUGGUAACAACAUAGUAUCAACAUUAUUUAGCUUCGUUUCAAGAAAGAUGACAUCCUAGGUUUUUCUAAUGUGUAAAAAUUGAGGAUCCUCGUAAAAUUUGACUAUAUCGGUUCCCAAAGCAUUUGAUUCCUACGUUACAGACGGAAAACAGCAACAAUCGAAUUUAAAGAUUCAUAACACGAUAGAUGGUACAAAAUUUCAAAACGAUAAUUACUAGAGAACAGGAGGGUUAAUAGCCUGAGAUAUGAGCAAUACCUCAACUGCAACGGCAGAUGCAUAUUUACUAUAAAGUCUUUAUAUGAUGUGCCUCCUAUUCCCAGCUUCAACUCCAACUGAAAGAUGUAAAGGUAAUUGUAGGCAAAGAGUUACAAACAUAACCGAAUCCAUGUUUUAUAAGCAACAACUACACUUAUUUUGAUAUGUUUCCUCAUUUUUUACUUGCAAAUUCCAAACCAUAUUGUCGGACCAGUAAAAGAAAAUAAUGUUUAUGAUAACUGUUAAAACUAAUUACAACAAGUUAAUGCAUAAAGAACUUACGGAGGGUGCUAUGAGGCCACCGAAAAGGAUAAACCCCGCAAUAAUUGAAUAACAAACAGCAUAAUACUGCUUAAGGUUGUCUGAACUCUGCAAGCAAUGAAUUCACCUUGUGAUUAAUACUUUGCACAAACACUAGUUUUCGCAAUUUUUUAUGAAUCGACAAAAGGCUACAACAAAAUAUGGCUAAAACAUGUCGGGGAUAUGAAAAUACAUGUCUUCACAGGGGCACCAGCUUACCAGGGGAGGCAAAAAUGGAAUGAACGAUGGAAAACUAGGAAGUUCGUUUUCUUGAUCUUCAUUUACCGCUCCAAGCUCUGCACGUUUAAUCCGCUGUUGUAUCCUCAGCCUGCGAACCUACGCAUAUCGAAGCUCAUUCUUAAAGAACACAUUUCUAAUGGCAAUUGGAGAGUAAUUUAAAACAUGCUACACUGAGAAAGUGGUAGCAACUAGCAAUUGCUCUCACCUCCUCCAUAUGCAAGAAAAUUUUGUUGCGACGACUCCGAAUAUUAUCUUGAAUUUCCUGCAGCUCCAUUGUGGCAAAAUCCUGCACUGUUUCAGGCCCCUCUAUGAUACAAAAUCUGCACCAUUAAGCAUGUAAAAAUUAAAAAUUACAAGCUACAAAGCAAUUUCCGUAUAGUUGUUGGGUUAAAUAACAUCAACAGCAAAUAAAUCACAUAGGUUUUUCACAUAAAGUUACAAACUUUCAAGGACUAAUAAGCUGUCUGCAAUCUCAUAAAUUUCACAGUGCAAAGUAACAAUCCAAAGCUUGGAACUUUAAAUUUCCACCUUCUGUUAAUUUUUUAGUGCACCUGGUGUCGUUAGAUUCGAGUAGUAUGUCACAUUAAAUUUUUUUUUUCUGUGCAUGCAUUUUUUUUUAAAAGAAAAUUUAUAUUGUUAAAGAGCGAGUUCGAAACUAUUACAUUAUGGAAGGACAUAGUACCGAAACUCCGACGAUCAAAAACAAAAUCAUGUACAACCACUCCAAGCAGUCAACAUGGCCAUCACAUAUUGAAUCCAAAAUGUUGACGCCCCAUUCGCUGCAUAUAAUGUACAGACGAGCGGCAGCUUCAACCAGUUCUGCCAUAUCCGGCUGGAUGAGAGCAGCUAAAGACAUGAUUGUUCCCUAAUAACAUGAAUAAAUUGAGUAAACACCAAAAGUAGCAGCAAGGGAAGGAGAUGUGAAGUAUAUGAAGAGGUGUAAGACCUGUGAAUGUCCAGCAACAAAGAUUUUGGAGCUUGUUGUCGAAUAAUGCAACGCGUCAUUUCUGGUAGAUCAAAUAGAGCCAAUUCCCGCCAACUCCAAUUCCAAAAUUUCUACAGUAAAGCAUAAAUCUUAUUCUCUCUUCUGAUAAAGAUGAGUGUCCCAGACUCCAACGUGUUCCACACACAUUCCCUACCCAUACAUCGAAACCUUCAUCUGCAAGGACGAAUCCCAGCGAUUCUUCUGGAGAAUUUAAGAAUCAUGCAUCACCUGGUUAAGAUCAAGAAAAGCCAGUAACCAAGUUCAAUUGAGUUAAAAUGUAUCCCAUGGAUGUUCAUCACUUUGCCCAAUUGUUCUUUUCAAGAAAGGAAAUUUCAACAGAACCUGAAAACUUCAGAUCAGGGGGCACCAAAUAGUGAGCUAUACAUUCAAAAUUUGAAAUAAUCAACUUAGUAGGACCAGUAUGUUGAAAAAAUAGGAAGGAGCUAUGAAAGUAAGACUUUUCACUAAUCAGGCGUCCAGAGAAUCCAUAUUUUACCCGCGUAUCAGUUACGGGGAACACUCCCCACCAGAGCAAUCUCAUUAGUCCUUCACAUCUCAACCGUACAGAAGUUGCACUAACAAACAUGACUCCUAUUAGUCCUUCACAUCUCAAAUCCAGGAAGUACCCAUCUUUCGUCUGAAUCUGGAAAAUAAGCAGCAGUCAAUUUAACAAUCUCGGUAUCUCAAAGUUACUCACUUUAAUCACAAAUUUAGCAAUUAAACAUAUAAAUGGGCAUUUUUUUAGGGAAAUAUUAGUAUAGUACUCACUGUGUGCUCGGAGCAAGAGUACCCAGAAAGCUCAAUGAGCUGCGCACAGAGGACUGCAGUGGUGAACGACAGCGACCGCACAGAGGACUGCAGUGGUGAACGACAGUGACCAAUUCUGUAAAAUUUAGUCGAGUUUUGGGAAAUUUCUGCAGCGAUUUCGGAGGUCAAGAGGCUGAUAAGGAAAGCCGCGACCAAAGGGCACUGGUCUGGAAGAAAGGCUUUGGUCGCCGCUAUCGCAAUUCACGAAGGAAGAAGUGCCCCAAAACAAUUUCGGCCCUGGACAGGUGCACUGUUUGCACUGAGCCAGGGCCGGCCCUGAAUCGCGAUAACGUCCUUCUCCAAACAGUAUAUAUACAGAUGCUAGAAAAAUCUACCGGAACUAUUCAAUUCUAGCGUCUACAGCUUUAGCAUUAGUUGGUACAAGGGGCAUUCUUCCAAAGAGGGAGAUGAAAUCGUUGAGGCACCAAAUAGUGAGCUAUACAUUCAAAAUUUGAAAUAACCUCUUGGUAGGACCAAUAUGUUGAAAAAAUUGGAAGGAGCUAUGAAAGUAUGGCUUUUCACUAAUCAGGCGUCCACAGAAUCAAUAUUUUACUCACAGAUCAUUUACGGGGAACACUCCCCACCAUAACAAUCUUUUUAGUCCUUCACAUCUCAAACCAAGUAGAAAUUGCAGUAACAAACACGACUUCUAUUAGUCCUUCACAUCUCAAACCCAGUAAGUACCCAUCUUUCGUCUGAAUCUGGAAAACAAGCAGCAGUGGAUUCAACAAUCUGGGUAUCUCAAAGUCACUCACUUUAAUCACAAAAUUAACAAUUAAACAUAUAAAUGGGCAUUUAUUUAGUGAAAUAUUAGUAUAGUACUCACUGUGUGCUCGGAGCAAGAGUACCCAGAAAGCUCAAUGAGCUGCGCACAGAGGGACUGCAGCGGUGACGACGGCAACCGAUUCUGUAAAAUUCAGUCGAGUUUUGGGCGAUUUCUGCAGCGAUUUCGGAGGUCAAGAGGCUGAUAAGGAAAGCUGGGACGGAAGGGCACUGGUCUGGAAGAAAGGCUCAGGACACCGCUGUCCCGAUUCGUGAAGGAAGAAGUGCCCCCAAAACAAUUUCGGCUCUGGACAGGUGUACUGUUUGCACUGGACCAGGGUCGGCCCUGGCGAUAACGUCCCCCAAACAGCACAUAUACAGAUGCUAGAAAUAUAUAAAUGUAACCUGAAACUACUAGAACCAUUCAAUUCUAGCGUCUACAGCUUUAGCAUUAGUUGGUACAAGGGACAUUCUUCCAAAGAGGGAGAUGAACUCAUUGAGGCUCUUAUUUAUUCCUCCUCUUGAUGUGCCCUUUUAGGCUGCUAAUUCCACACGAUCCAAUCUCAUACAUCUUCCCUGCAAAAGCAUGUGUGCCUGACUUCAAGAUCAAAUUUUUCCAACAAAAGAAACUUAAAGAUCAAACUCGCUAGAGGAAUAAGUGGUGCACAAGGGUGUUAAAAUCUUGACAUAUGUAUAUUUUUGGCAGAUUUUAUGUGAGCAUGCAACUAAAACUGGCAUCACUAUCAAUGGUGCACAAAGAUUGGUGGAAAACUUUAACAGUUUGAGUUGUAACUUCUCCAUUGUAUUUGUUAAGGCAAGACGGAUGUCAUCUAUUCAUUUUUCUGUAAAACUUAAAAGGCUGCAUAGCAGCUCUUGUUCGUUGUAUUGAAUACCGUGGUUUUACUGAUGAAUGCAGAGUUUGCUGAUGAUUCAUACGACAAGCAAUUGAAAAUCCCAUCAUUAUGCCCCCCAUAUACCAGAAGAAAAAAAAGUCAUUUACACAAAUUCAGAGCGUUCAUCCACUGUAAUUUGCAGAUAUAGAAACGUUAAGAUAAAAGGAAAUGCAAAGUACCUUUCACCAAAUUGGAGGAGCACCGGUGGCAUUAGCAAGUUAGCAACGGGAAUUGACAUACCAAUAUCUUCACAGUUUCUGCACAAGCACAAAUCAAAAGAAUCCGGAGGUGGAGUUAUGUACCUCUCCUUGGAAAAUGCCACCUCUUGGGAUUUCAAAAUAUGCGGCCGUGGCUAGCCGUCUGACCACGCCAAUUCCACCAAAGCCGCCGCAACGCGGUGUAGUGUCCGAUUGAUUGCUUCAAAUCAGAGCUUCGUAUCCAUGUGUUUAUCAGCAGAGAGUACCCAAAACCCCUGAAAAUUAUUUCUUUAUUCAGAUAAUAAAAUAUCCCAAAUUUCGAAUUUUAAUUCCGAAUCAAAAAUAGGGUUUGAAUUUUGAUUACCUAUAAAUUGGGGGGUUGCGGUGGAAAGGGAGUCAGCCAAGACGGCGAUAUGCGUCCUCGAGAGGGCUAUGAAAAUACAAAUUACAGAGCGUGUUGGGACGAUGUACAAGGCUUUUGCAGUCUCUCAAAUAUAAAUACCGAAGCUCCGUAAGGCGUUCAAUCCAGGGGGAAAGCUCUUUAAUAGAUGUUCCAUCCAGGAAAAGACUUCUUAAUCCUUCCAUAUUUUCUUCAAUGCUUGGAAACAACUCAAAUUUUGUACAACCGGAAAGAGAGAGAGAGAAAAGGGACUUGAGCUGACAAAUGCUGCUUGGAAGACUCUUAAGUUCUUUGCAAUCUUUUAGAUUCAAAUGAUUCAAUCCCGUAAGAUUAUUAAUUGACGAGGGCAGUUCUUUAAUUUUUGACCCGGAUAAAUUAAGCUCUUCUAACUCCUCCAUACCUUCUGAAAUCUUUGGAAACAUCUCAAGACUAGAGCAGCCAGAAAGAUUAAAGGUUUUGAGAGAUUUCAUACGAAUGCUGCUUGGAAGACUCUUAAGUUCCGUGCAAUUAUGUAGAUUCAAAUGACACAACCUCGUAAGAUUAUUAAUUGACGAGGACAGUUCUUUAAUUUUUGAGCAGGGUAAAUCAAGCUUUUCUAACCCCUCAAUACCUUCUGAAAUCGAUGGAAACAUCUCAAGACUGAAGCAGCCAUAAAGAUUAAAGGUUUUCAGACAUUUCAUAUGAAUGCAGCUUGGAAGACUCUUAAGUUCCUUGCAAUCUUUUAGGUUGAAAUGACUCAACCCCGUGAGAUUAUUAAUUGACAGGGACAGUUCUUUAAUUUUUGACCCGGAUAAAUUAAGCUCUUCUAACUCCUCCAUACCUUCUGAAAUCUCUGGAAACAUCUCAAGACUGGUGCAGUCAGAAAGAUUAAAGGUUUUGAGAGAUCUCAUACGAAUUUUGCUAGGUAGAAUCUUAAGUUCCUUGCAAUCUUUUAGGUUGAAAUGACUCAACCCCGAGAGAUUAUUAAUUGACAGGGGCAGUUCUUUAAUUUUUGACCCAGAUAAAUUAAGCUCUUCUAACCCCUCCAUACCUUCUGAAAUCUCUGGAAACAUCUCAAGACUGGAGCAGUCACAAAGAUUAAAGGUUUUGAGAGAUCUCAUACAAAUUUUGCUAGGUAGAAUCUUAAGUUCCUUGCAAUCUUUUAGGUUGAAAUGACUCAACCCCGAGAGAUUAUUAAUUGACAGGGGCAAUUCUUUAAUUUUUGACCCGGAUAAAUUAAGCUCUUCUAACUCCUCCAUACCUUCUGAAAUCUCUGGAAACAUCUCAAGACUGGAGCAGUCAGAAAGAUUCAAGGUUUUGAGAGAUCUCAUACAAAUUUUGCUAGGUAGAAUCUUAAGUUCAUUGCACCCAUGCAGAUCCAAUAAAACAAGGUUUGUAAGAGUCGAAAUAGACGGGUGAACCUCAACUAAGCUUAUACAACUUCGAACAAUUAGCCUCUCAAGAUUUGGCACAUUUGUGAAGUCAGGGGUUUCCUUAAGGGAUUGACAAUAACUUAAAUUGAUGAAUUUCAACUUUUC
rnacentral:lncRNA from 1 species